UCUGAUUUGUGGAAAGAUAGAGAUCGGUUUAAAAGGUUUUCAUAUGCAUCCUUGGAACUUUGUAAGGUUUACAUGGAAAUUUCUUCCUCUUCUGGUAGCCGUCGAGAACUCUUUGCUGCUGAGAUGCACCUGAAGAACUUACUUAAACAAGUAAAACAUCUUAUAAUUCGAUAUUUAAGACACUUACAGUUGGUUUAAAGAUUGCCUUUUCUGUUUCUGUUUUUGACUGGUUCAGGGUAAAACUUUUUCUCACUGUGUUAGAGUGCAUUUCUGUUAUUAUAUAGAUUCUUAGUAGAAAAUGCGCUUUUUGGAAUCUCAGGCUGAAGGAUUUUCUGACAUGGAAGAGUUCAGGGAUCUUCAAGCUUGCCUUGAUGAAGUGAUGACGAAACUCCAAUCUGGUCCCGUGGCUACCUAAGUAUCAGGAAUGUGCUAUUUUUGAAAUUUAGUAACAAGGUUAAAUCUGCAACUAAAAGCUAUUUUAGUUGUACUGUAGUGGAUAUCUUGUAUUGUUGUAUCACCUUUUCUGUAACAAAACACUCUAGUUUUAUUAUUUUUAUUAUUUUUGUAUUUUCGGUGCUGUAACUAAUCUCAAUGUAAAUAUAUGGCUUCAAGUUAUUUAAAUGUAACAUCAAGUGUUGUUUUCAACCUCUGUUCUUUUGUGUAUAGCUUACAUGCCGUGAUUUCAUUAACCUCAAUUUAAGGACAAUUUCAUAUCUUUUUUCUUUCUGCUUUUCUUUUAUCAUUUAAGAACAAAUAUGCAUAUAUUUCAGAAAGAAUUUAAACAAAGCAACCGAACGUUGCUGGUUUCUAUUAUUACAUUGACAGCAGUAAAACAAAGAAGCAACUGAAAGUUAUCUUUAUAUGAGAAUGAAAGCUUUUCAGCAGCAUAAGCCUUUCACUAUUCAAUUCCAAACAUGUUCCUCAACAUGAUAACAAAUUCGUAGACCUUUUCUGGGUCUGGAAGGAUCCUGGCAACAGUAUCUCUUUGCAUGCACUUGUUCAUCCAUGCUGAGAAUUUGGGGCACUCAUUCUCAACCUUAAAUCCCCCAAAUUUCUCAACCGCGUAAAACCAACAAGUCAGUGGAAUGGCAAUCACAUCAACGAAUCCAAAGCUAUAAUUUUUUUUUGCUUUUCUUUUAUCAUUUAAAAACAAUACACGCACACACACGCGCAUAUAUUUCAGAAAGCAUUUAAACAAAGCAAUCGAACGUUGCUGGUUUCUAUUAUUACAUUGACAGCAGUAAAGCAAAGAAGCAACUGAAAGUUAUCUUCAUAUGAGAAUGAAAGCUUUUCAGCAGCAUAAGCAUUUCACUAUUCAAAAUCUUCACAUGAUAACAAAUUCGUAGACCUUUUCUGGGUCUGGAAGGAUCCUGGCAACAGUAUCCCUUUGCUUCAAAAUCUCUAUAAAUUCAUUCUCCGCCGUCUCUCGGACCUCGCCCUUGCUUUUCCAUAUGUUGCAUACUGCAUCGAAUACCUGCCAAAAAAGUGGUGUCAUCUUUUAAGUUCGCAUUUAGAAAGAUACAAACAUUUAUACUUGAGAAUUAUAGACUGACCUUCUUGUCAAUAAAAUCUGCCCAGAACCUUGCCUUAGCUCUCUCAGAAGCACAGGAUGGGAGAAGUGGUGGCGAAGGCCAAGUCUCGUCAAUUUAGUUAACUAUAAUAGUGGAUUCACACAAUGGUUCCCCAUCGUGUAGCAAAACUGGGACUUUCUUGUAGAUGGGGUUUGAUUUGAGCAACAGGUCACUCUUGCCCCCAAACAAGUUCUCAGCUCUGGCUUCAUAUUCAACUCCUUUCUCAGCCAAUGCAAUCUUUGCUCUCAAGCAAAAUGGGCUAGCCCAACAAUCCAAAAGAACAACCUCUCCCUUGGACAUAUUCGCUUUCUUUGUUCUUGUUUCUUUUACUUGGUUGAUAGUAAUUAAACCUUGAGUAUCAAGGUUGGCAUUUAUAAAGUAGAUAAGAUGAAAUUCCCAAAGUUUGUGUCGCAAUCAAGGUUUGUUCGUUGGCACUUCCAUAAAGGAUGUGGCAUUGUUCUCAUCAUUUCUUAGUUUUUUGAAGCUAACUGGUUUACUUGGCUUUCAACAUGCACAUGAACAAGUUUGUCUUGUGUAUGCGGCGUUUACUAAGGACAAGCAGAAUCGUAAGUAAGCAUUUACACUAAUCAAUCGGUAUUGUCCAAUGAAAAUAAGUAAUAUUUCUCAAAAUAGGCUCAUUAAGCCCAAUUCUGGUGCUAGUUAUGUUCAACUUUGAAUCAAACUUGGAAACAUUUUUCUUUAGAUUAUUAUUAUUAAUUUAGAAGAGUCAAAAAGCUAAGAGUAUCGUUGGUAAAACUCAAACAUGUGUAAUAUCAUAUAUCACUGGUUAGUGAGUUUUGUAAACUUUCUUAAUUAAGACAACACGUUUUGGGUUGUAAAUUCUAACACAAUAUCUAUUCAGUUGUUCAACCUGGAAUAUUACAAUUAUAUCAAUAUUGUUUGAUGUGGGCACACAACCCUGCGUCUUCUUAAUUAGGACAGCCAGUGAAAUCCACUUGUUAGCGAUGCAGGAGAUGAUACAUAACUUGUAUGUGCACGUUGGCGGAAUAUCCCAAUUAUGCCCUCGUUUGUCUUCCUGGUUUUAAAAAAUCUAUUUAUCUAAUUGCUUGUUAUAAUGCUUCUAUUGCGGUGUUAUUCGAGUUGUCAUUUUCAGUUUUAUUUUAUUUUUUCUUUAAACAUAGUUAAUUUGAAAUGUUCUUUGAUAUCCAUUACACUUGAGAUCAUCAAAUAAGUGAUUCUCGAACAUAAUUGCUGUUGUUACUCAGAAUAAGAAAAGAAAACAAAGUAUAGCUAAGAUAAAGCAAAUGGAAAUGAGAGCAACGUGAUUUUGCAAAGUGAACUUCACACUAUCAUUAAACCGAAAACAAUAGCUUAAAUAACGACCCACUAGAAUCAUGGUCCAAAGAUUGUGCCAUCAACUACAAAAAAAUAACCAACAUCAGAAAAGUAGUAACAGUUUGAAACUUUCAACUAAGAGUUGAUAGUAACCAAAGAUUGUAUUCUUUAUUGUCAUUUGAGAGUAACCAAUUACUUCCGCAGUCACGUAAGUUGCUGGUUGGCCUCACACAUUUUUGACCAGCUUGUUUCUGAAGGAAACCAGCUGAGCUGCAGCCUCUUCCAUGCUCAUUCGUUCUCUCGGCAACUCUGAAGAGCAAGUGACUCCGAUUCCCAGUGCUGAAACCAAGCACUCUUUAACACUAAAACUUCUGGUCCAUUGUUUGUGAGCAUUGGCCUUGCUUGUCUCCCCUUCUUCUCUUUCUACAAGAAGCACUGGAUCAACAAUUUCAGCGAGUCUUUCAGGAAGAGCUUCCUUGACAAAAUUAUGUAGGGUUAGAUUGCCUGUAAACAUCUCAUUCGUCGGCCUCUUUCCUGUAAACGUUUCCAGCAAGAGUAUGCCAAAACUGUACACAUCUCCACUUUUUGAGACCUCACUCCCCAUUCCGUACUCUGCAAUUUGAAAAUUAAAACUGUUGGUUCAACUAGUAAAAUCUCUAAGGAUUUCAAAAGAAGUUAAUUAAAUUAUAGUAUUUACCUGGAGCAGCAUAACCAACGGUUCCUUUUACUCCAAUGGAGCUUGAUUGAUUAGAUGACAAAUUAUUGGUGGCUUCCGGAAGGAAUUUUGCUAAUCCAAAAUCACCUACAUGGGCAGUAAAUUCACCAUCCAGAAGAACAUUGCUUGGCUUGAGAUCACAAUGGACUAUUGGAGUUUCGCAAUAAUGAUGAAGAUAAUCCAAGGCGGAAGCAACAUCAACGGCAAUAUUCAGUCUUUGGAGGAGAUUUAAGUUCCUUGGUGCCUCAGCUUUUGGAUGCAACCAUUCCUCCAGGCUCCCGUUGACCAUGAACUCAUAAACUAAAGCCUCGAAAUCAUUUCCUUGGAAGUCAACACUUGCACAGGAAGUUAUUAUUUUGACAAGAUUCCGAUGCCUAAUACUUCUCAAGGCUUGACACUCCGACAUGAAACUCUUUGAAGCUCCUCGAUGUUGAAGAUUAAGCACCUUAACUGCCACCGGCGUUUCAUGAUCAUCAUGAUUGAGGAUUCCUUUAUAGACCGAACCAAAGCUACCGGCACCAAUCAAGUUUUCCAGAGAGAAUCCAUCAGUUGCUUUGAACAGAUUCUCAUAGGACACUCGUAAAACCGAAGCCAAUAAUGCUGAUAGAGGAGUGGCCGGCUCCCUUUUCGAUUUGCUCUGCCAUGAAGUAAUUAUUAAACACGACAUCCCUGCCACUAACAAAAUUCCUGUAACUACAGGAAUAAUCAGUUUCAGGGAACGGGAACGUGAUUGCUUUGAUUCUUUGAUGGAACAAGUAGAUAAAUGCAAGUCAGAUAUGCCACCACAGAGGUUAUCAUUUCCGUCAAGAGAUGUAGCACUUGAAUUGCUGAAGACUCCUUUUAUUGGUACUUCACCCUCAAAAUGAUUAAAAGACAGAUUUAAAUUCUGCAAAAAGGGAAAGUUUUCCAGAUAUUUUGGAAUCCGGCCUGACAAAUUGUUCCGCGAAAGAUCAAGAUUCUCAAUGCCUCUCAAAGAACUCAAUGAUGAAGGGAUAUUCCCUUGAAAGAAAUUACCGUUCAUGAUGAGUUGUUCCAACAUAAUGCAUCCUCCUAUACUGCUUGGAAUUUCGCCAGACAAUUUGUUCUCCGAUAUAUCUAUAACACCCAGAUUUUUCAAGAUACCAAAAGUUGAGGGCAAAUGACCAUUCAAUUUGUUUUGAGAUAGAUCAAGAUAGAUUGACAAGGAAGAGAGACCAAUCACUUCAGUGGGUAUGGUACCACUGAGGUUGUUAUUAGAGAGAUUUAAUGAUAUUAAAUUUUGGCAUUUCCCUAGACUUGAUGGAAUGCUUCCCUCUAACACGUUUUCCCCAAAAUGUAGUGUAGUUAACGAUGUCAAAUUUCCUAUAGAAGAUGGAAUUUCCCCCAAAAACUUGUUCCCAUUCAGCCACAACCUCUGCAGCUUUUGAAGAUCUCCUAUACUUCCCGGAAUUCGGCCUGUGAAUUGGUUGUCCCUGUUGGGGAAAAAGUAGGUUUUUAAAUUUGUAUAAAACCUUUUGAAGAUCGCUCUCAUAUAAUAUAUAAGAAUUUGUAUUCUUGAAAUCGUACCUUGAAAAUCUGAGUUGGCUUUUUCCGCUGAAGUGAUUUAGGCUCCUAGAUCACGAUCCGCCACCACCACUCCUGUUAGAUCACGAUCCGUCACUACCACGCUUGUUAGAUCACGAACUGUCUCCAAUGAUCUUCCAAGUUAUGACUCAGGUUCGAUCUGCACUUGACGUGUGGGCGCCUUUAUCACUACCAAAGCAACUAGCACGAGAAAAUUUUUCUCUCAAUAAUGGAGAGAAAAAUAUUAUUCUCUGAUUUGUAUAAAGUGACUUUACUUUUUUCUUUAGAGAAAAUAAGCCUUAUAUAUCUCCUUUUAGUGAAAACCCUAGGCUCCAAAUAAUGCCCUAAAUAAAACUCACGUUAUUUUCUUUUUCAAUAGGGGACCCACCUUGUAAAAUAACAUAAGGCCCCUUAUACAAAAGCUAAUUAAAUGGAGCCUCCCACUAAAUGAUAUAUUUAGGCUUUUGACCCAAAUAACUAGUUAUCUUACUUAUUAGUCCAGUAGUGGUGCAGUCAAUUAAAUGAGCUAACCCGGGGAUCAUUUGGGAACAUACAAUAGUGGCUACAAUAAUUAGGCCUGUAAUUAAACUAGCCCAAUUAUUUAAUUCCAAAUCUACUCCACUAAAAGAUUGGAACUGACUUCCAUAAUUGUAUGCUCGAAUAAUAAUUCGUCCUAAGCCACAUUGAUUUCUUUACUGCACAAUCCUUUGUACCACAUCGUUAAUUAAAUUGAUAUCUCAACUGUCCAAUCAAUUUAAUAACAUCUUAUUCCUUGAUCCUUACUGGUUUUCUCUAAUGAUCAUUUUCAACAUACUAAAUAUGUUGACACACUCUGGCCAGAGAAUUCUAUGAUCAAGUGCCGAAAACCCAUCAAGAGAUGUGUUGUACAAAUUCUAUAUUGUUAAUCCAUAACUCCAAUACUUAUAAUUGCUCCCACCAAGAUACCGGGUAAUCUUGACCACAAGGAUGUGUCGUGCCCAUUGGUAACUCAAAUGGAAUAACAAUUACAAUCAUGAAAUCAUAAUUAACUCAAGAUUAAGAUUACAGUAAAAUCAACGCCUAUGAGAUUUAAUAAGUCUGACAGUUAUUACAAAGUUAAUUAAAUCUCAUAUGUGAUCCUGUUCAAUGUAGUCGUACUACAUCAAUAAAUUCAUACAUGAUUAAGACAAAUCAUUCAAUGAAUUUAUUACAGUCUAUACCUAAAUAAAGUGCCCAACUUUAUUUAUCAACUGCGAACUAAAUUUAUUUAAUCAUAAGAUAACUUGUAUUUAUGUCUUCUGUGAAUCCACAUGUUGAUCACAUAAAUACAUAUAAUAUGAUUAAAUGGACUUUAAUACAAGUAUUAAUGCAAUUAAGAUAUUUGAAUAAAAUACCUCAUUUAUUUUAUUAAUCAGAAAAAUAGUUUAUUACAAUUAAAUAAACACAUAUGCUUUUAAAGAGCAUAUUUUCCCAACAAUCUCCCACUAGCUCUCAAAGCAUAUCUGGCAUAUUGCACAUGCUCUAGGGCUCUAAGUGCAGGUUAUAAAGGUUUCCCACUAAUGGCCAUUGUAAUAAGAUCUGCCAUUUAGCAUUUAAUGCCAUUUGGGGUACUGUCAUAUAACCUUUCUACACUAUUCCCUUAUAAGAUGAUACUUCCUUUCAAUAUGUUUUGUUUCUUGUGGUUCCUUGGUUCCUUAGAUUGAGCUACCGCACCACCAUUAUCACAUAAAUAGUUUAAGGGGUGCAGUUACAACAGGUACCACCUUAAGAUUUCGUAGGAACUUGCGGAGCCAUAUAGCUUCUUUUGCAGCUUCAGAUGUAGCCACAUAUUCAGCUUUAGUUGUUGAGUCUGUGAUACAAGAUUGUUUCACACUCAUCCAACUAAUAGCUCCACUUCCCAAUGUAAACACAUAGCCGGAAGUUGAUUUUCUGGAAUCCUUAUCUGACAUAAAGUCAGAAUCAGUAUAACCCACUGGAAUAAGUUCAUCACCAGAAUACACAAGCAUAUAAUUUUUAGUUCUUUUCAGAUACUUUAUAAUAUGCUUGACUGCAGUCCAGUAUUGAGGUCCAGGAUUAAAUUGAUAUCUGCUAACCAUCCCUACCGCAAAACAGAUGUCUGGCCUAGUGCAAAGCAUGGCAUACACGAGACUUCCCACAGCGUCUGCAUAAGGAACUCGUCUCAUUCUCUCUAUCUCUUCAGAUGUUUUAGGUGAUUGAUCCUUAGAGAAUGUAAUUCCAUGUCUGAAUGGUAAUAAACCAGUCUUGGAAUUUUUCAUGCUAAAUCUAGCCAAUAUCUUAUCGAUAUAGACCGCUUGAGACAAGGCUAAAGUUUUAUUCUUCCGGUCUCGUAGUAACUUGAUACCAAGAAUAUAACUUGCCUCCCCCAGGUCUUUCAUAUCAAAUUAUUUUGCUAACCAAAUCUUUAUUGUAGUCAAUACUCCUAUAUCGCUUUCAAUCAGGAGAAUAUUGUCUACACAAAGAACUAGGAAGGCUACAAAUUUUCCCUGAAUUUUCUUGUACACACAUGGUUCAUUAAUGUUCUGAAUGAAUCCAAGUGAUUUAAUCGCUUGAUCAAAUCUGAUGUUCCAUGACCGGGAUGCUUGCUUCAAUCCAUAAAUGGAUCUCUGCAACUUACAUACCAUGUGUUCUUGGCCUUUUUGUAUAAAUCCAUCUGGUUGCUGCAUGUAGAUGUUUUCUUCAAGAUGCCCGUUAAGAAAGGCAGUCUUGACAUCCAUUUGCCAAAUUUCAUAAUCUAGCACUGCAGCAAUGGAGAGCAGAAUCCUGAUGGAUUUAAGCAUAGCAACCGUAGAAAAGGUUUGCUAAUAAUCGAUUCCUUCUUUCUGAAUAAACCCUUCGGCUACUAAUCUUGCUUUAAAUGUUUCCACCCUUCCGUCUACUCCUCUUUUUCUCUUGUAGAUCCACUUGCAGCCUAUAGGUUUUACCCCAUUUGGUGCCUCUACAAGUUCCCAGACUUUAUUGGAAUACACAGAUUCCAUUUCUUGAUUCAUGGCCUUUUUCCAAAAUUUAACAUCUAUAUCUAUUAGAGCUUCGUUGUAACUAGUGGGAUUUUGUACAUGUUCAUCUGAGAUAGCCAUAUAGGUUUCUCCCAAAAAUAUGUAUCUCGCAGGUAACCUAGUUACCCUCCCACUACGACAAGGUUCUAAAAGUGAUGGUUGUUCAAGGAUAAUCCUGUGCUGAUCAACUGGUUGUUGCUGUUCUUACUGUUCUAUAACAGGUGUUGAAAGCUGAGCAUCAACCUGAUCUCUUUUAUUUCUCUAGUUUUACCUUACUCUUAGGUUAUAAGUCAUUAUAGAGUCUUCCUCAAAGAAAGUAAAGAAUAUUUCUAUAAAUACAUUCCUAUCUUGAGGACUAUAAUUCAGACUUUCCCUUAUUCCUUUAAGAUACCUAAAACAUGCAAGCUUCUGAACACGAAUCCAUCUUGUUUAUCUCUGAUUCUAGUAGAAAUACUAGUAAACUCCAAAUACGAAUGUGUCUCAAACCAUGUUUGUGACUUUUUCAUAAUUUCUUGGAGUAGUAGACACCGAGAUAGAUGAAACUAAGUUCAAUAAACUUUGUAGUUUUAAAUACUAGUAUCUGGAAUCAAAAAAGGUAAAUGAUAAACCACUUAGUAUAUAUCUUGUCUUAUCCAAAAGAAUCUUGUUUCUCCAUUUAAUUACACUAUUGUAUUAUAGUGUUCAUUGACAACCAAAUAGUGCUUGAAUUCUCCAUAGAGAUAUUCUUUGUUUCGAUCAUAUCGAAGUUCUUUUAUGUUCUUGUCUAAUUGCUUCUGUCUCAUCCACGUACUCUUUUGAAUUUCAAAAGCAAUGGAAUCAUGACGCAUUUAGACAAACAUAAAUAAAAUGAAUAUUCAUCAACAAGAUUGAUAGAAUACUCAUAACCCCUUAUAACAUGUAAACUGAUUAGUCCGUAUACAUUUGUAUGCGCUAAAUCAUCAAAUACAUAGUUAUGCUUUUAGCUCAAAAAGAGCAUCCUUGUCAUAUUACUUUUCUAAAUAAGAUUUAUAGAGUUACAAUGAUCAAUCUUAACAGGCCAACAAGUCUAUCAUUAAUCAUUUUCUUAAAAUCUUAUUAUAGUUUAUAUGACUUAGGCAUAAUUAUCAGAGGUUAUUUUUGGUUAGAAGAAACAUUUCUUUUCUUAGAUAAAUGCAUAUAUUUUUUAUUAUUAUAUCUUACUUUGAAUAGAUCAAUGGACUUCUAUGAUAUAAAUUGUCUUUAUAAAUAACCAAAAUAAAUAAUAAAUAGAGGAUCCAAAAAAUAACAGUGUACUCCUGUUUAUUAAAACAAGCCACCGAAAUUAAAUUCCUCUAAUAUAAAGACAAAUAUCAAAACUAAAGUCUUGUAAAAUUGAUCUAGUCUUUCAAUUGAUAUAAACUAGCAUGUCCUCAACUGUUGUUUGAUGUUUUCUUCACUUAAUCUCUUGGUUUCCUGAAAAUCAAAUAAAUGAAUUAUAAAUAAGAUUAGUUACCUCAGAAUUCAUUAUUGUAUGAUGCAAUAGAAUUCUGAACUAAUUAGGAAGCUUAAAGAUUUCCUAUACCUGAUUUUAAUAAUCUUAGGACAAUCUUUCUUCCAGUGACCCUUCUGUCCACAUUUGUAACACUUGCCUUUUGGCUUGCCACUUCUUUUAGUGGACAGUUUGCCGAUCCCAACUCUUGCUUGCUUAUUCUUGUCUUUCGACUUAAACCUUGAAGAGAAUCCUUUUUCAGGAAGUUUUCUGCUAUGAUAAAAUUCUUCUAUAGCAUGUAGUUCGUGCAUUAAUUCAAUUAAGGUCAUAUCUUUAUUGUUUAAGAUAUAACUGACCUUAAACUCUUUGAAUGUAUCAGGUAAAGAUUCAAUCACCAUGUUAAUCUUUGAUUUAUCAUUGAUUUGAACACCAUGAAUCUCUACCUCAUUCAAAUAGUCCAUCAUUUUGAGGACAUGAUCACGAACUUUUGUGCCCUCUUCCAUCUUAGUAUCCGUAAUACGUUUCAAUGCUGCUUCUCUGGCAAAAUGGGUAUUUUGCCCAAACAUCUGAUGAAGACUAGCCAUUAUUUCAGUGGCUGUUUCCAUGCUCCGAUGUUUCUUAUACAGUUCCACAGAAAUCGAAGCCAAUAUAUAGCGCUUAGCCAUUUUGUUAGCUUCACACCAUUUCUCAUAAGGCUCCCUCUGAUUUCUAUAAUCGUAUAACGAUGGUUCAGGAGGGCAAGGCUGAGUCAAAACAUAUUUGCUUCCCUUAGCAGUGAGAAUAUUAAAUAGAUUGUGUUUCCAAUCUAAAUAAUUUUCGCCAGUGAGUUCAUUUUUAACAAAGAUAAUUAAUAAUGGGUUGAUGGAAGACAUUUUCUGAAAAAAAACAAAAUAGACAUGCAUAAAUACUUUGAAACAAUAUUCACAAUAAAUGACAAAAAUGCAAAAAACCAUAAAUGCAUUUUAAUUUAUUGUAACGAUAAUCUAGUACCGCUUUGACAAGCUAUCCGUUGGGGAAGUCAUGUCUACACUUACUAGACCCAAUUAUCCAUUAGAUUAUUUACUUUCAUGUAGAGACAUGAUAAAUAAUUAUCGUUAUCCCUUUAGGCCUAAAUUUGUUAACAGAGCUUCGUUGGGAAGGUUAAUAACAAACUUUAGUUGAGUGUAUAACCAUUGUUUCAAUCUACGUAUUUUUCAUAUCAAUAGUCACCGUUGGGGUGAACAAUCGAUUAAAAAAUAUUUCAAUUUUAUCUUUGAAGAAGUUCAUCAAAUAAAAUAUCUAAUAUAUAUACCCUCCGAAGGGAGCAUCACCGUAUCAUGAAGUCGAGGUAUAUAUAUAAUUUUAUUAUUGAACUAACAAUGGAGCCCGUGGGAAAAUUAUCUUGAAUUUUCCCUCUCCCACUCAAUAUUUUAAAAUUGGUUUUUCCUUUUUAAAACAUACAUAUUGUUAAUUGCAUGCUUCCUAUAAUAUUAUCUAGAUGAUAUCAAAUAUUAUUAAGCAUGUGCAAAUUUCAAACAAUAUAAUGAGAUUCAUUAUUAAUGAAUUACAUGUAUCAUUAUGCAUAGAGUGGCACUACCUAUUCUAUAUGACAUGUUAUCAUGGCAUGUUAUCAUCCAAAACAUAACAUAUAGAAAAACAAUUAAAUAAUCUUAAUUCAUGGCUUUCCUAAUAAUGAAAAAUACAUUAACCCUAAGCCUAAUCUUCAUUGGCCUUCUUGUCAAUGUCCAUCUUCCAUAAGCUUAUCUUUGUUAAUAGAUUAGGAGAAAUUGAGCUUUUAAAUUUAUAAUUGGUCCAAUUUUAAUUUUUGGAAGGAAAUAAAUAAAUAAUUAAAAUUUUUUAUUAAAAUAAAACUUUUGGACCAAAAAUAAAAUUUAAUGUGUUUAAUUUUAUCUAUGCAUUUUAAUCCAUUAAACCCAAAUUUCAAUUGGGCCUAAAACUAAGAUUCUUUAAGCCCAAAACUGUUUUCGGACUUAAAUGCAAAAACUUUAAACGUGUCUGCCCAAAAAGAAAAACUAUGGAGCCAUAGGAACCUCAAUGAUAGAAACCAUUGAAACCCUAAAUCCAUCUUUUUCUCUUUCCUUUCUUCACCAGCCGCCACCAGCAGACUGUUCAGAGACGCCGGCCAUCUCCGACGCCGAAACACCCGCCGCCACGUCGCCGGAAACGCACCAAACUCGCGCGGGCAGCGAGCUGCGCGUGCAGCGCGCGCUGCUGCCGCUGCGCGUGCAGCGCGCGCUUGCUGGCAGCAUGUGCUGCUGGCCGCGCGCUGCUUGCUGCUGGUUGCCGCUGUCAAAAUUUCCGGCCUCCGUCGCUCCGAUCUUGAAAAUCCGAGAUUAAUUUACAAAUUUCCUAGGCCAAUAGUGGCUUACAAAAAAUCUAUAAUAGUAAAAUAAAUCAAGAGAGAAAUAUGGUGAUAAAAAACCACCACUCUUGUUAUAGAUCCAAACAAAAAAUACAAUAGAAAAUCUAACUAUGAAUUAAGACAAACCAUAAGCAUGCUUUAUUCAUAUAUUAAAUAAAUAAUAUACAUCUGAAUAAAUUGUGCCACUCUAAUACAUAAAUAUCAAGAAUGAUUUCAUACGAAAUUCUUAUAUAUUAAUAUGAGAUGGCUCUAAUACCAAUUGUUGGGGAAAAAGUAGGUUUUUAAAUUUGUAUAAAACCUUUUGAAAAUCGCUCUCAUAUAAUAUAUAAGAAUUUGUAUUCUUGAAAUCGUACCUUGAAAAUCUGAGUUGGCUUUUUCCGCUGAAGUGAUUUAGGCUCCUAGAUCACGAUCCGCCACCACCACUCAUGUUAGAUCACGAUCCGUCACUACCACGCUUGUUAGAUCACGAACUGUCUCCAAUGAUCUUCCAGGUUAUGACUCAGGUUCGAUCUGCACUUGACGUGUGGGCGCCUUUAUCACUACCAAAGCAACUAGCACGAGAAAAUUUUUCUCUCAAUAAUGGAGAGAAAAAUCUUAUUCUCUAAUUUGUAUAAAGUGACUUUACUUUUUUCUUUAGAGAAAAUAAGCCUUAUAUAUCUCCUUUUAGUGAAAACCCUAGGCUCCAAAUAAUGCCCUAAAUAAAACUCACUUUAUUUUCUUUUUCAAUAGGGGACCCAUCUUGUAAAAUAACAUAAGGCCCCUUAUACAAAAGCUAAUUAAAUGGAGCCUCCCACUAAAUGAUAUAUUUAGGCUUUUGACCCAAAUAGCUAGUUAUCUUACUUAUUAGUCCAGUAGUGGUGCAGUCAAUUAAAUGAGCUAACCCAGGGAUCAUUUGGGAACAUACAAUAGUGGCUACAAUAAUUAGGCCUGUAAUUAAACUAGCCCAAUUAUUUAAUUCCAAAUCUACUCCACUAAAAGAUUGGAACUGACUUCCAUAAUUGUAUGCUCGAAUAAUAAUUCGUCCCAAGCCACAUUGAUUUCUUUACUGCACAAUCCUUUGUACCACAUCGUUAAUUAAAUUGAUAUCUCAACUGUCCAAUCAAUUUAAUAACAUCUUAUUCCUUGAUCCUUACUGGUUUUCUCUAAUGAUCAUUUUCAACAUACUAAAUAUGUUGACACACUCUGGCCAGAGAAUUCUAUGAUCAAGUGCCGAAAACCCAUCAAGAGAUGUGUUGUACAAAUUCUAUAUUGUUAAUCCAUAACUCCAAUACUUAUAAUUGCUCCCACCAAGAUACCGGGUAAUCUUGAUCACAAGGAUGUGUCGUGCCCAUUGGUAACUCAAAUGGAAUAACAAUUACAAUCAUGAAAUUAUAAUUAACUCAAGAUUAAGAUUACAGUAAAAUCAACGCCUAUGAGAUUUAAUAAGUCUGACAGUUAUUACAAAGUUAAUUAAAUCUCAUAUGUGAUCCUGUUCAAUGUAGUCGUACUACAUCAAUAAAUUCAUACAUGAUUAAGACAAAUUAUUCAAUGAAUUUAUUACAGUCUAUACCUAAAUAAAGUGCCCAACUUUAUUUAUCAACUGCGAACUAAAUUUAUUUAAUCAUAAGAUAACUUGUAUUUAUGUCUUCUGUGAAUCCACAUGGUGAUCACAUAAAUACAUAUAAUAUGAUUAAAUGGACUUUAAUACAAGUAUUAAUGCAAUUAAGAUAUUUGAAUAAAAUACCUCAUUUAUGUUAUUAAUCAGAAAAAUAGUUUAUUACAAUUAAAUAAACACAUAUACUUUUAAAGAGCAUAUUUUCCCAACAGUCCCCAAGAUGUAAAAGCUCCAAGUUAACAAGAUUUCUUAAUCCACUUGGGAUAUUUCCGAACAAUUGAUUGUUUUCAGCUGAUAACAUUCUAAGUCGGGUUGACAAGUUCCCCACAGUUUCAGGUAACAUUCCACCAAAAUUGUUAUCACUAAUUAACAGUAGCUCUAGUCUAGAAGCGUUAACCAAAGAAUUGACAAAUUCCAAGUUAUCUUUUUCCCCAUAAUUUCCUAAGUGAUUCUGAGAAAUACUAACCUAUUGGAGUUUAUGUAAAUUUUCCAAACUAGGCACCCUUCCACUGAAUCCAUUCUUUGCGAUUGUGAGUCUCAUUAGAUUUGAGGCAUUGGAUAUUGAAGCCGGAAUAGGCCCGGUAAGCUGAUUACCACCAACGUUUAGUACUUCAAGUUUAGGAAGAGUGAAGCCUAAGUCUGAUGGAAGGCUUCCUUGAAGUUGGUUAAAAGGAAAAUAAAAAUCACUAAGCCAAGACAAGUUGUAGAUUGAGAAGGGGAUUUCACCUGAUAGCUUAUUUGCUCCUAACGAUAUAUAACGCAUCAUCUUAAGCUCGCUCAGGGUUUCAGGAAUUUGUCCCACAAAUUGAUUUCCAGCUGCUGAGAGGACCUGGAGUGAUGACAAAUUGCCGAAGGAAGGUGGGAUUUCUCCUGACAAAUUGUUGGCGUGUAUUACGAGAAUCCGGAGCUUUGGUAAGGAGCCCAGUUUCCCUGGAACUUUCCCCACAAGCUCAUUGAAGUCUAACCAGAGGGAUUCAAGGUUAACGCAAUUGGAUAUGUUGUCAGGAAUUUGACCUCCGAAUGUAUUGUUGUCCAGCCUUAAAAUUCGUAACCUGAACAGAUAUCCAAUCGCUUGGGGGAUUUCGUUGCGGAGGCUAUUGUUUUUGAGAUUUAACACUCUGAGAAAACUCAAAUUACCAAUGUGAGGCGACAGAGACCCCUGCAAGAGUAAAGAUGGAAGACGUAAUGCAGUCACCCUCUGGUGCCGUGGACUGCAAGUGACACCUUUCCAUUGACAGAAGUGCCUGGAAUAGUUCCAUGAACUCAAAAACUCUAGAGGGUCAUAAGUAACUUUGGCCUUGAAUUCAAGCAAUGCAAGUUGAUCAGUUUCAUUGCUUUUGAGCAUAUAAUCGGUUGACUGCAAGCUGAAGCUGAAGCAACAGAAAAUAAAGAAACAAAUGCUAACAAUGAUUGAACUCAUCAUGUUUACAAAAUCCAUUUAACUGCCGAAAGGAAAUUAAAAUGAUAAAACUUUUAUAGAGGUUGGUAAGAUAAACUAUGUUUGUAUAUUUUUUGCAAUGAUUUAGGGACUCUGUACUUGAUGCUCAAAUGUGAACCGGCUGGCACCGUGACAGUGAAACUAAUACUUUUUAUUUUUCUAAUAAUAUUAAUUAUCAUAUUUAUUACUAUUGUUAGAAUAAUAUAUUGCAGCUUUAAAGAAAGACUCACCAUACUCCUUUUUGAGUCUCUGUCAGUUUCCAGCAUUUGGUCAUUUUUUAUUUCACCGCUUAAUCCACAGUAAAUAUAAAACAAUUUAAUCAACAAUAUUGAAAAAGAAAAAAAGUAGGACAAGAGAAAGGUAAAUACUGUUAAAUGAGUUGGGAAACGUUCAAAGCACGACGGGAAUUAGAAAAGAAAAAAAGUAGGAUAAGAAAGUUAAGUAUGAUGGAUGGAGUUUCACAUCACUGUUAAAUGACUUAGGAAAGGUUUAAAGCACCACAGGAACCAACGUUUCAUAAGUCAUAACGCUUUUUUCCCUUGUGAAAUAUUCAGUGCAGUCUCUCCCAGAUUUUGCUAGUGCAACAACGAGACGUCAUGCCGUUAACAAUUUUAAACUGUAAAUGACAUGUUGUUUUUACAAGACAUAUUAUGCGUCGAUACAUACCUUUUCUGGUUGUUGGUUUAUAAAAAUAUAUGAGACGGCAUGUGUGUGACAACUCUGUCAUUUGUGUUUACACGGCCUGUCGUUUUCAAAGUAAAACUUUAUCAUGGUAUUCUCAUCCCCUAGCUGCCGUUUUCCGUUUGGAAUUUUUCUGUAUAAGAUCUUGAUCAUCAAAUUUACUACUAGGGCGCAUGUUUUAUUUUCUCGAAUUACAUUGCUGCCUCAUCUUUUAUGUUUUCGGUUCUGUUGUGGAUCUCCUCUGUUUUUGUUGAUAGGCGGCUUUUACCUAAACUAAACCAUUAUUGGUGGCAUGUUGAUCCUAGAAUUAAGGAGUGGAUGGCUCCACUACUUGGGUGUUGAGAAAUUCAUGUUCAACUCACUGUACGGGCUCAGAUCGUACUGUCUUCCCCAUCAAAACAAAUUCAAAUGUUGAAGCCGUUUUUCGGCAUCAACAGUUUUGAUGUGUGCUAUGUUUUUAAUAUACAAACAUAAUUUUCUUUAUUCAGAUUGAAGAUCUUUUUCAUCCAACAUAAUUUUAUAUCCCUAGUAUAAAUUCGAUCCUCUGAAUAGCUCUUCAGUUUUAAGUUCUGCAAAAAGAUAGAUCUAAAUUCUGCAUAAAGGGAAAGCACUCAAUUUUUUUUUGGAAUUUGGCCAGACAAAUUGUUGCGAGAGAAAGAUCAGCUCUCAAAGAACUCAAUGACAGAAGAAAUUUUCCCUCGAAAGAAAAUCAUAAGUUGUUUCAACGUAAUGCAGCAGCCUAGACUAUAUGGAAUUUCACCAGGCAAUGACAAUUUAUUCUCAGAUAAAUCUAACGCCACGACAUUUAUCUAGUCACCCAAAUUUGCAGGCGUUCGUUUUGAGACUUGUCAAAACUUUUUCCAAAAAUUCGGGAUUCAGGUCAUAUCAGGCCAGUUAUGUUUUGAAAAACUUGUAAAUUUUCAGUGAUCAAACUUCAAAACUUUGCAAAUAGGUCAAAAUACGGAAAAAAAACUUGAUAUAUUAUUGAAUACUCAUUUUGUUUUGCAUUAAUAUAACGCUAUGGGUGAUAUCUAGUUCUGUUGGUAAAAUUUCUUGGGUUGAAAACAAGAAAACUAGAAUUUCAAACUCACUCAUAUGGAUGGGAAAGAAAUUUAGUUAUUAUUGGAUUAAAAAAUAAUAAUGAGAAUUAGAAAAAAAAUUGAUAAGGCUUCAACGAGAUUUGCUAAUCAUGUAUAGAUUAAUAUGAAGAUUAAGAACAUCACCUAAGCUAAUUAUUGAACUUGAAAGUUUAGGAGAAAAAAUUAUAUGGGUUUGGCCAUCAAUUUAGCAUUCGGAACUUAUUGUUUAGGAAGCUAUGGUAGGUUUCCUAGUAGGACUUAUCCUCUUUAAUGCAUAUGGUGAUUUUAAACCAAUAUAUAUACAAUCGCAUUAUAAAACUCAUCAAACCUUCUAAAAUAACAUGCUGAGAUAGUGUGCUAGAUCCAUAUAAAUAUUUCUCCAACUUCUUAGCUUGAAGCGAUAUUCAUUUCCAUUGAUAGUUUAAUGGGCAAAGCCUUUUGAAUUCUCCAUGUUAUCAAGUUAACUUUUGCUGGAAAAUGCAAUGCGGAUAUGAAUAGAAUUUUUUGUGCAAUCAAAUUUUCUAUGUUGACACAUCCUCUGGAACUUUCAGUAAAUUUUAUGGAGAAGCUUCAAUUUCUUGGUUGUUGAUUUCGAAUACAUUAAGCUCUUAUUUGGUAUUAAAGUAUUGUGGGCUAAAAGCUAUAGUUUUUAUGGAAAGAAAUUUGUAAUUGCGAAAUAAAAGUUGAUUCAGUGUGAUAAAUAUAAUUUCAGAAUAAAAAAUAAAGUAAACUUCGAAAUUAUAACAAAGUAAGUAUUUAUUAAAUACUUUAGUGUUGCAGUAACUGUUUACUACAAUAUCAAAUAGGGGGCUAGUACUACAAGUUGUUACAUUAAAAGUCUCCCAAAAAGGAAGAGGUGACUUAAAAAAUUAAAAGAAUGCAGGAGCUGAAGUUGGCAAUUUUGUAAAUUGCAAUGGCGAUUGUGAUAUAGUAAAAUCCUUCAAUGAAUCACAGCACUAGCGAUUUCGUAAUAUACAGUAGCGGCAAUUUUGUAAAAUUGAAGUAGUGAUAGUUUUGUAAAUAAAAGUAAAAACUUUUUCCCAAAAUUUGGCUGAGCAAAGAGCCAGCUUAGCCCACACUCUCCUUCGCCACUGGUUGAUGAGCUCUUCCUUCAAUUUUUGAACUUGAAGUGAUGCCCCAUCGAUGUCCAGAAUUUUUAAAGUCUCCCCAUUGUACAAGUUAAACAAUAAAGUCAGAAUGAUGACGGAGUUACAAACAAUCAAAUAUGAUCCUAAUGAUUCUUUUUAUACAGUCACGUGUACGUUGAUGUGUUUAAUUGAUAUAUAUUUAAGCAGAAAUUGAAGUUUGAACCUGAUUAAUUAGAUGCGAACACACAUUCAUGAGUAAUUACUUAAAAUAAAUUAACCAAAAGAGUAAAUAUAGGAGGAAAUCGAUCAUAUGCGUGCGGACACCACAAUCGAAUUAUAUAUAUAUAUAUAUAUAUAUAUAUAUAUAUCACUGUCGCACAUAAAUUUUAUUCGAAUGAUAUAUGAUUACUUAAUUAAUUUUUUAAUAACAAUUAAAUUAUAAUGUCAAUUGUGCACAUAAGAUUUUUUUUCUUGAUGAAAUUAUGAAAGUUAGUAAUUAUUUUCCAUUUUUUAAAUAAUAGUUUUUAAUACAAAUAAAAAAAAUAUUGGGACUUGAGAUCAGGGUCUACUUGAGUUAGAAUUUUUUAUUAGAGAAGCUAUUAGCCAGCAAUACAAAAUAAAGAAGCAACACAAGAUAAAGAGUAAUAUAUUAUAGAAAGAUUUUAUUCAUUCCAAGUGUAUAUCAAACAAAGAGAUAUUUAUAGUUACAUAAUUACUACAUGAAAUUAAUGAAAACAUUAUGGAUCAUACUUUCUUGCGAGAUAGUGGAAGUUAUAGAGAAGGCAAGGGUUGCUAGUGGAAGAUAGUGGAGAGAUUAAGAGAUGUAUGUUAUGAACAUCCAGAUUUAUUUUAAUAAAUUCAUAGCAUUUUUCCCCCUCAAAUAAUAGGGUGUACAGAACAAUUGGAAGGAGUUUACGCAACCUAUAAAUUAAUACUCUGACGAAUUAAUAUCCUCUAUUAUAUAAUGACUUUUUUUAAGCACGCUAAUAGGCUAAAAUGACAGUUCCAAUAAAUAAAUAAAAUAAUAUUUUUUUUUUCUGAAAACCCUUACAUAAUAUUGUGGUCCUACUCAUAUCAUAAAUUAAUAAUUUUUAAAUUAUAUAUAAUUAUUACACAUAAAUUAUAUAUUUUUUAAUAAAUUCAUAAUAUUUUUUCUCAAAUAAUAGGGUGUAGAGAACAAUUAGAAGGAGUUUACAAGACUCGCCUAUAAAUUAAUACUCUGACGAAUUAAAAUCCUCUAUUAUAUAAUAAUUUUUUUUAAGGUUGCUAGUAGGCUAAAAUGAUAGUUCCAAUAAAUAAAUAAGAUUAUAUUCUUCUUUUUUUUUAUGAAAACCCUUACAUUACAUUAUGGUCCUACUCAUAUAAUAAAUUAAUAAUUUUUAAAAUUACAUAUAUAAUAUUUUAUUUUAAAAAUAUGAUUUUAUUUUUUAUUAUUUUUUCUUGAAAUUUAAAUAUAGUUAGAUUUCAUCUCUAAUUACUUUUGAGGUUAAAUUUUGAAAUUGCAAAAAUUUUGAAUUUUUUUGGUUAAUUAAAUCUACAGUGAGUGUAUAAGAUGAUUAGAUUAGUAAAAUAUUAGAUUAGUAAAAUAUAAUAAAUUUUUAGUUGAUUAAAUAUAUGUUCAUUUAAUAUGUCUUGUGUAUACAGAGUUUACUAAGGACAAGCCGAAUAGUAAGUAAGCAUUUACACUAAUCAAUCGUGUUGAGUUGUGUCCCAUAUUGGCUAGUAAAGGGGAGAUACUUGGGUUUAUAAGAAGGUAUGUCAUUCCACCUAAAAGGCUAGUAUUUUGGGUUGGAUACAUAGAAAUCUUAUGUUAAGUCCCCUCAACAAAUCGGUAUUGUGCAAUGAAAAUAAGUAAUCUAAAAAUUGCCUAGGAUUUUGCCUUAUAUGUCUCAAAAUAAGCUAAUUAUGCCCAAUUAUGGCACUUGUUGGUUCAACUUUGACAUCAAAGUUGGAAACGUUUUUCUCUAGGGUGAGGCUAUUUGCACUUGAAUAUCUACUUUGAACACUCAUUUACUCAGCACACUCAAUUAAUAAUUUCAAACUAUUAACUUUUACUUGGAACACUCUUUUGAAUUCCUAUAUUAUCCUCAUUUCUUUAAUUACUUUAUUUCUUCUUUGUACCCAAUAAAAUAUUCAUCAUCACAAACAAAAUAUCUAACUUUUUUUUUCCAUUUUUAUUCACUUUUAUUUUCUGUUCAUAAUCUGUUUUGAUAUGUAUUUGUUCUUCUCUUAUUGCUACAAUUUAAUUCUGUUUGUCAACCCAUAAAAGCAUGCGAAUUGAGUGAAAAUCAAAGUGCAAAUUUAAAACAAAAUCCUUUGAUUUACUUGCGUUUUCUUAUGUUGGAGUAGUGCAAUUUGUUGUUUGUCCUCCACCUCUAUUUUUAAUUCCUUUUGUUUCAGUUAUAAAGAUGAUCAUGAACAUGUUACUUGAUGUUUUCCUAGCAAUUCUAUUAACCAAAAAAAUGAAAAAAAAAGUUUAGUCCAUAAGUAUAGACAAUGUUUUCAUUUGAAUAUUGAUUCCAUUCUUCGUUGUUAAUGUGGUUUAUUGUAGAUAAAAUAUAAUGUUAGAUAAAAAUUUGUUAUACAGUAUUUUAAAAUUGUCCUUAAUAGAAAAUUACAUUAAGGAGUAAUAUAAAAAAUUAUUAAAUGUGAGUGUCCAAAGUAAAUUUUAGAGUGCAUAUAGUCUCACCCUUUUCUUUAUGUUAUUAUAAUUAAUUUAGAAAGAGUUAGAAAGCUAAGAGUAUCCUUAGUAAAGCUCAAAUAUGUAAUACAUAUCACUAGUGAGUGAGUUUCAUAAACUUUCCUAAUUAAGUAGAUGAAUUUUGGGUUGUAAAUCCUAACACAAUAUAUAUUCAGUUGUUGAGCCUAAAAUAUCACAACUAAAUCGAUAUUGUCCGAUGCAGCAUGCAACCCUACAUCUUCUUAGUUAGGACAAUUCAUGAAACCACUUAUUUGGGAUGUAGGAGAUGAUACAUAAUUUGUAUGUGCACGUUGGCUUAAUAUCCCAAUUACACACUCGUUUGUCUUCAUGUGCUCCGAAAAGAUCUAUUGUAAUGGAUAUAUUGUAUGUUUAUCAAAGUGCUUGUUAUAAUGAUUCUAUUGUGGUGUUAUUCGAGUUGUCACUUUUAGUUUUUGAUUAUCUUUUUUAAACAUAGUUAAUUUGAAAUGUUCUUUAAUAUCCAACACACUUGAGAUCAUCAAAUAAGUGAUUCCCGAACAUAAUUGCCUCUGAUAAUUUUGUUUGUGCCAAUAAAGGGUUGAUACAAGCCAAAGACUUCUUGUCUUUAUUGUCAUUUGAGAGUAAUCAAUUACUUACGCAGUCGCAUAAGUUACUGGUUGGCCUCGCACAUUUGAGAGUAACCAAAUGGAAAUGAGAGCAACGUGAUUUUCCAAAGAGAACUUCGCACUAUCAUAAAACUGAAAACAUUACAAUUUAAAGCUUAAAUAACAACACACCAAAGCCAAAUAACGACCCACUAGAAUCAUGGUCCAAAGAUUGUUCCAUGAUCACAACAUGAACUACAAAAAAAAAAAAAAACCAACACCAAAAAAGUAGGAACAGUUUGAAACUUUUGACUAAGCAACAUUUAUGAUCACAUCAGCAGUCCUAAACACAUCUUCUAACAAUUACAACUGUUCAUUUUUGCUUCUGCCAAUAAAGAGUUGAUAGUAACCAAAGAUUGUUGUCUUUAUUGUCAUUUGAGAGUAACCACUAAUUACGCAGUCACGUACGUUGCUGGUUGGCCUCGCACAUUUUUGACAAGUUUGUUUCUGAAGGAAAGCAGCUGAGCCGCAACCUCUUCCAUGCUCAUUCGUUCUCUCGGCAACUCUGAAGAGCAAGUGACUCCGAUUCCCAGUACUGAAACCAAGCACUCUUCAACACUAAAAUUUCUGGUCCAUUGUUUGUGAGCACUGGUCUCACUUGUCUCCCCUUCUUCUCCUUCUACAAGAAGCACUGGAUCAACAAUUUCAGCGAGCCUUUCAGGAAGAGCUUCCUUGACAAAAUUAUGUAGGGUUAGAUUGCCAGUAAACAUCUCAUUCGUCGGCCUCUUUCCUGUAAACAUUUCCAGCAAAAGUAUGCCAAAACUGUACACAUCUCCACUUGUUGAGACUUCGCUCCCCAUUCCGUACUCUGCAAUUCGAAAAUUAGAAUUGUUGGUUCAACUAGUAAAAUCUCCGAGGAUCGAAAAACAAGUUAAUUAAGUUAUAGUAUUUACCUGGAGCAGCAUAACCAACGGUUCCUUUAACUCCAGUAGAGCUUGAUUGAUUAGAUGACAAGUUAUUGGUGGCGUCCGGAAGGAAUUUCGCUAAUCCAAAAUCACUUACAUGGGCAGUCAAUUCACCAUCUAGAAGAACAUUGCUCGGCUUGAGAUCACAAUGGACUAUUGGAUUUUCGCAAUAGUGAUGAAGAUAAUCCAAUGCGGAGGCCACAUCAAUGGCAAUAUUCAGUCUUUGGAGGAGAUUUAAAUUCCUUGGUGCCUCAGGGUUUGGAUGCAACCAUUCCUCCAGGCUCCCGUUCACCAUGAACUCAUAAACUAAGGCCUCGAAAUCAUUUCCUUGAAAGUCAACACUUGCACACGAAGUUAUUAUUUUGACGAGAUUCCGAUGCCUAAUACUUCUAAAGGCUUGACACUCCGCUAUGAAACUCUUUGAAGCUCCUCGAUGUUGAAGAUUAAGCACCUUAACUGCCACCAGCGUUUCAUGAUCAUCAUGAUUGAGGAUUCCUUGAUAGACCGAACCAAAGCUACCGGCACCAAUCAAGUUUUCCAAAGAGAACCCAUCAGUUGCUUUGAACAGAUUCUCAUAGGACACUCGUAAAACCGAAGCCAAUACUGCUGAUGGAGGAGUGGCCGGCUCCCUUUUUGAUUUGCUCUGCCGGGAAGUAAUUAUCAAACACGACAUCCCUGUCACUAACAAAAUUACUGCAACUACAGGAAUAAUCAGUUUCAGGGAACGGGCACGUGAUUGCUUUGAUUCUUUGAUGGAACAAGUAGAUAAAUGCAACUCAGAUAUGCCACCACAGAGGUUAUCAUUUCCAUCAAGAGAUAUAGCACUUGAAUUGCUGAAGACUCCUUUUAUUGGUACUUCACCCUCAAAAUGAUUAGAAGACAGAUUUAAAUUCUGCAAAAAGAAAAAGUUUUCAAAAUAUUUUGGAAUCCGGCCAAACAAAUUGUUCCGCGAAAGAUCAAGGUUCUGAAUGCCUCUCAAAGAACUGAAUGAUGAAGGGAUAUUCCCUUGAAAGAAAUUACCAUUCAUGACGAGUUGUUCCAACCUAACGCAACUUCCUAGACUGUUUGGAAUUUCACCAGACAAUUUGUUCUCAGAUACAUCUAGAACACCCAGAUUUUUCAAGAUGCCAAAAUUUGAGGGCAAAGGACCGUUCAAUUGGUUUUUAGAUAGAUCAAGAUAGAUUGAUAAGGAAGAGAGACCAAUCACUUCAGUGGGUAUGGUACCAGUGAAGUUGUUAUUAGAGAGAUCUAAUAAUAUCAAGUUUUUGCAUUUCCCUAGACUUGAUGGAAUGCUUCCCUCUAACAUGUUUCCUUCAAAACUUAGUGUGAAUAACAAUGUCAAAUUUCCUACAGAAGAUGGAAUUUCCCCCAAAAACUUGUUCCCCUUUAGCCUCAACCUUUGCAGCUUUUGAAGAUCUCCUAUGCUUCCCAGAAUUCGGCCUGUGAAUUGGUUGUCCCCAAAAUCUAAAAGCUCCAAGUUAACAAGAUUUCCUAAUCCACUUGGGAUAUUUCGGAACAAUUGAUUGUUUCCAACGGUAAAUCUUUUAAGUCGGGUUGACAAGUUCCCCACAGAUUCAGGUAACAUUCCUCCAAAAUUGUUAAUACUAAUUUCCAUCAUCUCUAGUCUAGAAGCGUUGACCAAAGAACUGACAAAUUCCAAGUCAUCUUUUUCCCCAUUUCCUAAGUGAUUCAGAGAAAAGCUAACCCGUUGGAGUUUAUAUAAAUUUUCCAAACUCGGCACCUUUCCACUGAAUCCAUUUUUCUGGAUUGUAAGUCUCAUUAGAUUUGAGGCAUUGGAUAUUGAAGCAGGAAUAGGCCCAGUAAACUGAUUAUUACCAAAGUUUAGUACUUCAAGAUUAGGAAGAGUGAAGCCUAAGUCUGAUGGAAGGCUUCCUUGAAGUUGGUUAACAGGAAAAUCCAAAAGACUAAGCGAAGACAAGUUGUAGAUUGAGAAAGGGAUUUCACCUGAUAGCUUAUUUGCUCCGAAUCCUAUUGAACGCAUCCUCUUAAGCUCGCUCAGGGUUUCAGGAAUUUGUCCCACAAACUGAUUUACAGCUGCUGAAAGGAACUCGAGUGAUGACAAAUUGCCAAAGGAAUAUGGGAUUUCUCCUGACAAAUUGUUGAAGUGUAUUGCGAGAGUCCGGAGCUUUGAUAAGGAGUCUAGUUUCCCUGGAACUUUCCCCACAAGCUCAUUGAAGCCUAACCAGAGGGAUUCAAGGUUAACGCAAUGCGAUAGGUUGUCAGGAAUUUGACCUCCGAAUGUAUUUUUCUCCAGGCUUAAUUUUUGUAACCUGAACAGAUAUCCAAUCUCUUGAGGGAUUUCGUUGCGGAAGCUAUUGUUUUGGAGAUCUAACACUCUGAGAAAACUUAAAUUACCAAUGUGAGGCGACAGAGAUCCCUGCAAGAGUAAAGAUGGAAGAAGUAAUGCAGUCACCCUUUGGUGCCGUGGACUGCAAGUGACACCUUUCCAUUGACAGAAGUGCCCGGAAUAGUUCCAUGAACUCAAAACCUCUAGAGGGUCAUAAGUAACUUUGGCCUUGAAUUCAAGCAAUGCAAGUUGAUCAGUUUCAUUGCUUUUGAGCAUAUAAUCGGUUGACUGCAAGCUGAAGCUGAAGCAACAGAAAAUAAAGAAACAAAUGCUUACAAUGAUUGAACUCAUCAUGUUUACAAAAUCCAUUUAAUUGCCGAAGGAAAUUAAAAUGAUAAAACUUUUGUGGAGGUUGGUAAGAUAAACUAUGUUUGUAUAUUUUUUGCAAUGAUUUAUGGACUCUGUACUUGAUGCUCAAAUGUGAACCGGCUGGCACCGUGACAGUGAAACUAGUACUUUUUGUUUUUCUAAUAAUAUUAAUUAUCAUAUUUAUUACUAUUGUAAGAAUAAUAUAUUGCAGCUUUAAAGAAAGACUCACCAUACUCCUUUUUGAGUCCCUGUCAGUUUCCAGCAUUUGGUCAUUUUUUAUUUCACCGCUUAAUCCACAGUAAAUAUAAAACAAUUUAGUCAACAAUAUUAAAAAAGAAAAAAAGUAGGACAAGAGAAAGGUAAAUACUGUUAAAUGAGUUGGGAAACGUUCAAAGCACGACGGGAAUUAAAGAUUCACAACACCUUUUUUUUAAAAUUUUCAGUGCCGUCCCCCAAAAUUUGCUAGUGCAACAAAGAGACCUCGUGCCGUUAACAAUUUUAAACUGUAAAUGACAUGUCGUUUCACAAAAUUCAUUUAACUGCCGGAGGAAAUUGAAAUUAUAAACUUUUAUAAAGGUUGGUAAGAAAAACAUAUUUGUAUAUAUUUUUUUCAAUGAUUGAUGGACGUUAUACUUGAUGCUGAAAUGUGAACCGGCUGGCAUCGGGACAGUGAAACUAAUGCAUUUUAUUUUUCUAAUAAUAUUAAUUAUCAUAUUUAUUACUAUUGUAAGAAUAAUAUAAUACAACUUUUCCUUUAAGGAAGACCCGCCACACUAACUUUUGACGCUCUAUAAGUUUCCAGUAUUUUGUCAUUUUGUAUUGUAGUGCUUAAUCCACAAUGAAUAUAAAAGUUUAAAGCACCACAGGAUGGUGGAUGGAGUUUCAGAUUACUGUUAAAUGACUUUGGAAAGGUUUAAAGCACCAUAGGAAUCAGCGUUUCACAACGCUUUUUUCCCUUUCUGAAAUAUUCGGUGCAGUCACCCCCAGAUUUUGCUGGUGCAACCAAGAGACGUCAUGCUGUUAUCAAUUAUAAACUGUAAAUGACAUGUUGUUUUUACAAGACAUAUUAUGCGUCAAUACAUACCUUUUCUGGUUGUUGGUUUAUAAAAAUAUAUGAAACGGCAUGAGUGUGAAAACUCUUGUAAAAUUUUUAAAAACAACAUAAUCAAUGGUAUUCUUAUCUCCCAGCUGCCGUUUGCCGUUUGGAAUUGUUCUGUAUAAGAUCUUGAUCAUCGAAUUUACCACUAGGGCGUAUGCUUUAUUUUCUCGAAUUACAUUGCUGCCUCAUCUUUUGUGUUUUCGGUUCUGUUGUGGAUCUCAUCUGUUUUUUUUUCUAAUUUUGGGCCCGAAGGGCACGUUAAUUGAAAUCAACAAAUCUGGUAAAAAUGACGUUAAAUUCGAUCAGAUUUACAUAUUUAAUUACAAAUACAGUAACCCCGAUCAGAUGCAUACGCUAAUUUUAUUUAUUUUUUGUCAGCUUUAACCUCACUGUCAUUUUGAAUAGCCUACAAGAGUCGAAUGACUAGACUUCCAAUUUGCUAUCAUCCCCCUUGAAUGGAUUCAAGAAAUUCAGCAGGUUGCGAAACAAUAAGAUUCAUUCAAUCCGCGUAGAUAUCUAACUGACUGAAAUUAAAUAAAUGAUGAUGAUAAGAAAUUUGAAAUCAACAAAUCUCGGCACAUCUAUUCUGCAAUUUGGCCGUACUUCAAAUAAUCUUGCGAUAAAAAUUUCAUAAAAAAUCUCAGAAAGAGGAUCUCAGAAAGAGGACAGAACAACCAAGGCAUCAACGAAAGCAAUCGAGGCAGGGCACGCUCAAGCCACGAAUUAGAGGAAUUUUAAACAUCAAAACCAGCUCAGAAUAAUAAGAAGUAAAAUGAAUCUACAAAAGACUAAGAUUUUGGAUGAGUGAAGGGAAGAUGAGAAGAUGAAAUGCAGAAAGUCAAGAAAUGAAUAAACCAAUAUUAAUAAUCUUGGACCCACAGCUCUAAUUUGGAUUAAGCAUCCAUCUACCUAUGUGGAUAAUAUUUUUGCUAAUUUUUCAGCCAUGCAGCAGGAAUUUUCCCUUGGAAGAAAAUGAUGAGUCGUUUCAACGUAAUGCAGCUACCUAGACUGCAUGGAAUUUCACCAGACAAUGACAAUUUAUUCUCAGAUAUAUCUAACGCCCCCACAUUUGUUUAGUCACCCAAAUUUGAAGGCGUCCGUUUUGAGACUGAUCAAAACUUUUUCCAAAAAUUCGGGAUUCAGGUCGAUCAGGCCGGUUAUGUUUUGAAAAACUUGUAAAUUUUCAGUGAUCAAACUUCAAAACUUUGCAAAUAGGUCAAAAUAUGAAAAAUACUUGAUAUAUUAUUGAAUACUCAUUUUGUUUUGCAUUAAUAUAAGGCUGUGGGUGCUGUCUGGUAAUGUUGGUAAAAUUUCUUGAGUUGAAAACAAUAAAACGAAAACAGCUCUAAUAGAUCCGCCCCUGUUUGAAACUCACUCAUAUGGAUGGGAAAGAAAUUUAGUUACCAUUGGAUUAAAAAAUAAUUAUUAUUAUUAGAAAAAAAAUUGUAAGGCUUCGACAAGAUUUGCUAAUCAUGUAUAGAUUAAAAUUUAUGUGGGUUUGGCCACCAAUUUAGCAUUAGGAACUUAUUGUUUAGGAAGCUAUGGUGGGUUUCGUAGUGGGACUUAUCCUCUUUAAUGCAUAUGGUGAUUUUAAACCAACAUUUAUAUAAUCCCAUUAUAAAACUCAUCAAACUUUGUAAAAUAACUCGUUGAGAUAGUGUGCUAGAUCCAUAUAAAUAUUUCUCCAACUUCUUAGCUUGAAGCGAUAUUCAUUUCCAUUGAUAGUUUAAUGGGCAAAGCCUUUUGAAUUCUCCAUGUUAUCAAGUUAAUUUUUGCUGGAAAAUGCAAUCCGGAUAUGAAUAGAAUUUUUUGUGCAAUCAAAUUUUCUAUGUUGACACAUCCUCUGGAACUUUCAGUAAAUUUUGUGGAGAAGCUUUAAUUUCUUAGUUGUUGAUUUCGAAUAUAUUAAGCUCUUAUUUGAUAUUAAAGUAUUGUGGCCUAAAAGUUAUAGUUCGUAUGAAAAGAAAUUUGUAAUUACUAAAUAAAAAUUGAUAGAGUGUGAUAAAUAUAAUUUCAGAAUAAAAAAUAAACUUAACUUCAAAAUUACAAUAGUAAUUAUAAAGUAUUUAUUAAAUACAUUUGUGUUGUAGUAACUGCCCUACCACAGUAACAAAGAGGGGGCUAAUACUACAAAUUGUUCCAUUAAAAGUCUCUCAAAAAGGAAGAAGUGACUUAAAAAAUUAAAAGAAUGCAGGAGCUGAAGUUGGCAAUUUUGUAAAUUGCAAUGGCAAUUGUGGCCUAGUAAAAUCCUUCAAUGAGUCACAGCACUAGCAAUUUCUUAAUAUACAUUAGUGGCAAUUUUGUAAAAUUGAAGUUGUGAUUAGGGGUGGGCGCGGUUCGGUUCGGUUCGGUUUUUUACUAAAUUUUUCAUAAUAGUUCGAUUACGAUUAUUUUAAAAUCAUAAUCGCGAUUAAUCAAAUUACCGAAAUAAUCAAACACUCGAUUAAUUAAAAUAAUUCGAUUCGGUUCGGUUCGAUUAUUUCGAUUAUGGGCCUAUUGGGCUUAUUUUGGUUUUUUUUUUUAAAUUUAAAACCUUAAAUUAAUAAAUCUACCACAAACAUAAAAAGUUAAUAAACAAAAAAUUAAAAUAUGUCUCAAAAUAUUUUUCUUUUUUUCCGAUCAUCAACCUCCACCUCUUGCACUUCCUCCUCAUCAUAGUUUAUUAGUUUUCCAUUCUACAGCAACAAAACAACACAACAGCAGCAACAAAUAAAAAACCUUGGGGAUUACAAAAUAAAAAAUAUUAUGACAUUCCAACACUGGCCUGGCUGAUGGCAUGCAAUUAAAUUCAAAUCAUCCUCACCAAUUAUAAUCAUAAAUUCGACUAGAAAAUCAAGUGUCACAAUCAAUUUCAUGAAGUCAAUGUUUCAAGCUAAAUACAACAUCUCAAGUGAAAUCAAAACAACAUUUUAUUACCUCCAAUUUUAAUCUCGAACAAACUGAUAAAAGGAAUACAAAGUUUAUUCAACAGUAUUGUGCAUUAACAAAGCAUAUGGAUAAAAGGAUUAAGAAAUGGAGAAGAAUUGCUGAGAAUGCAAGUCUGGCUAAUGGGCAUCAUUUAUAGCAUCAUACAUAAUUUAUUUAUGCAAGUCUGCAAAUUCUUAUUGACGGGCCCCUUGGGAUCCUCUUGGCUAUUUUGGCUAUAGCUUUUUUUUAUCCUCUUGCAUUUACCCCUUGGAGCCAACGAAUGAAUGGUACGCUUACGCUAUAGCCAAAAUAGCUGGGAUUAAGAUAUGCCGGGCUUAUCAGAUUCAGUAAAAAUUCAAUGCAAUUUCUGGGAUUCUUACGAAUUUAUAUGGCCCCAAUGAUAACAAAAUAUUUUAGCUAUAGCUUUUUAAAUUCAUAAAACCUUGUUCUGCUGAGAGUUGUUGGUGACAGUGGCAGCAGCAGCAGAUGACAGCGGCAGCAGCACGUGGUAACAGCGGCGGAGACUCGGCGACGAGCAGCAGCGAUGGGCAGCAGCGACGAGCAGCGGCGGCGACGAGAAACGGGGACGAGAUUUCAGCGGCUGAAGGUCACGAUUUCGGUUUCAGCUGAAGAUCAGAACUCAGAAGUGGUCACGAUUUAGGUUGAUGAUCAGAACUCAGAAGAAGCAGGGAUUUGUCCGUGGUAUACCCCAAAAAAAAGGUAUUUAUCUAAAAAUACCCCCAUACUCAAAUAUUCCUCGUAUAUGCCUUUUCUAAUAUGCAGUUACGAAAUUACCCUAAUGAAAAAUCUAAAUCAACUAAACUACCACAACCAAUCGUGUAACAAAAUCCCUAAUUUUUUCUCAUGAGCAACUUCUUCUUCAACCCGUUCUUCUGGAUUUCUCCUCCUCCAUUUUACAAAUCCCUGUCAUUUUACAACUAUUCUUCUACACACUCUCGCCUCUCUACAAACCAGUAGCUGCAAUUCCCCCACUCUGCUUCAGCGUCUCCUCUUCCAGGUACUUUUAGAAAGUCAAAUUUUUUAUUUUAAUGUAAAAUAAAAUUUGAAAGUUUCAAAGCUCAAGUUAUUGAUUUUUCUGGAAAAAAUCAUUUACAGCUGGUAUUGAAAUGUGUGCAAAGUCUUGUGCCAAAAGCUUAAUUUUCAUUUCUCACAAAAGUCAGAUGACAAGACUUCACUUGAUUAGGCUUAUGCUUGUCUUUUACCUUGCAUUAAUUUUCAUCUCUUGCAAAAGUCAGAUAAUAAGGCUUCACUCGAUUAGACUAGUAAUUGAUUUAACAUAUUCAUUUUCUGAUUAAUUGUCAUCCAAUUUGUUUUGCACACACAUCGGGUAGAAUUCAUCCAAAAAAAUGGCUUGUAAGGUGCGGGAGUCCGAAUACUUAUAAACCUACACACCAAGCCUUAGCUUAGCAAUAUGACACUCAAUUAUAGUUCAUAACCGAUAUGCACGGUGGCCAUAUAUGGGGCUAGGUGACUUCACAGAUUUCAUACAAGGUGAAUAGCAGGCCUUCUUUUCAACUUACUUCGUCUGUGCAGAGAGAUUUCAUCAAAAAAUUGGUAAAACUCAUUCAAAAGACCCACUUAUGAUGUUAGAAAGACCAAAUACCCUAUAAAAUGCUUAAUAAAGUGGUCGCACAAUUAUUCUUGUGUAUACAGUACCAAUGCAAUAGAAAACAGGAUAAACCUUAAUAUCUCUAGCUACUCAGUCCAAUAGACAGUAUAAUCUAAAGAUGUCGUGUUGUUGUAUUGUUACACUGGUGAGACAAUUGCUGCAUGUUGCAGACAUGAUACCUCUAGUACUUCAAAAGAUAGCAUAUCACGAAACACAUCCAGACUGUAGUGAGGUUAUUUCGAAAAUUCCUUGGCCCAUUGUGCGAGUGCGUGACAUCCCGCAACAAAAAUCAGGGUAUGUACUAUAUAUAUAAUGUGUUUUGAACAUAAUAAUAAGAAUGAUGAUUUUUAACAAUUGAUUUAUAUGAAUUUUUUUAGUGGUGACUGUGGAGCAUUUUUGUUGCGGUACUUGGAGGUCCUAGCCCAUGGACUUGAUGUCAAUUCAUACUGCCAACAAGAUCAUGUUACACAAUUUCGACAAGCCUUGGUUGUAAAAUUAUUUGGGCAUAGGUCAUGCAAAAAAACUUUGUAGUGUCAUAUUUUGGAUUAUGAGAUGUAAUAGUUGUAAUGAGGAUGUUGUUGAUAUUUGAUGUCAUUAAAGACAAUUGACAGCAUUAAUAUAUUUUAUUUCUUUGUUAUUUAUAUUAAUGAUAGAUAAGAUAGUUUGCACAAUAUAUGCACAGGGAAUAAACUGUAAGAGAAUACACACACGACUGCAGUCGGGUAUUUGCACAGAUACACGACUGCGGUCGGGUAUUUGAAAAUAAACAUAAUAAGCUGUGACAAAAUACUCGACUGCAGUCGGGUAUUUGCACAGAUACACGACUGCGGUCGGGUAUUUGGAAAUAAACAUAAGAAGCUCUGUGACAAAAUACUCGACUGCAGUCGGGUAUUUGCACAGAUACACGACUGCGGUCGGGUAUUUGGAAAUAAACAUAAUAAGCUGUGAUAAAAUACUCGACUGCAGUCGGGUAUUUGCACAUAUACACGACUGCGGUCGGGUAUUUGGAAAUAAACAUAUGAAGCUCUGUGACAAAAUACUCGACUGCAGUUGGGUAUUUGCACAGAUACACGACUGUAGUCGGGUAUUUACAAAUAAAAAUGACAAGCUCUCUGUGACAAAAUACUCGACUGCAAUCGAGUAUUUGCACAGAUACACAACUAUGGUCGAGUAUUUAGAAAUAAAUAUGACAAGCUCUCUGUGACAGUCAGGUAUUUGCACAGAUACACGACUGUAGUCGAGUAUUUAAAAAUAAACAUGACAGUUUUGUAACAGCCAAAAUACACGAUUGUACUCGGGUAUGUGCACAAAAUAAAAACUUUUUUCAAUCAUUCAUUAUAUUGAUGACACAAUCAAUAUAGAUUUUAAACAUAUCAAACUUCAAAUAAAUGAAACUAACUAUAGUCCGGUUGCCUAUCAAAUAACACAAAUCCAAUAGUUAUUGAAAUCGUAAAUAAGUCGUAAUACAAUAGAAGUUGUUUAACAUUCAUCAUAAAUUUUUGGCAUAUUCAACCAAAACACUCGGUCCAUAUUUUAUAAGCCUCUGGUCGCCUCCCUUCAAUACUUGUUCUUAGAAAGUCACACAAACAUGUUUAUUCAUCUGCGAAACAAAAAUGUAGAAAUUUAUCACUAAAUAUGAAAGAUAUUAAAAAAAAUUAAAACAACAAAAAAUAACAAGUAUAUAAGGUUCAUAGUAGUCUUGUAACUUAUUAACAAUUAUAGUAUGUAAGUUCAUACGUACACGCUAGUAGUCGUGUAACUUAUUAACACACACGACUAUAGUCUAGUAAUAGUAAAAUGAUAUAUAUAUAGUGAAAAAUAUAUAUUUUUUGAACCAAUAGAAUGAUAAGGUGUCAUAAUAAUUGAAAUUUUUUGCACAUUUCCACGACUACAGUCGUGUAAAUACAUACAUACACGACUGCUAUCGUGUAUGUCGAGUGCAGAAAAAAAUUUGACAACAACUUCAGAUUUUAACGAAUGUAGUUAUAAAAUCCAUCAAAUAACAGUCAUAUGAUGCAAAUGUAAUGAAAAUAUGAGUUGCUUUAGUGUUUAUCACAAACCAAACAAAACCCUAAAAAUAAUAUAAUGUCAACAAAUUGAAUAGAUAGCCCAAAAUAAAAUAAAAAAAAGUUUCAAAUACCUUGUUGAGUACAUAAAAGUACCAGGUCGGCCACGCUACCAUUCCGCACGGAUCGCCUCGGCCAAAGUGAUAUGAGCAGAACACUGAGGCUAACAUGAGCCGACCAGAGAUGAGUACUGACCAGAGGUAUAAGCAGAGCCAAUACUCGUCCCCCAAACAAAAGGCGAAAACACGAUCUCACAGAAUCACGGCAGUUGUGCUUUCCCAGAACCGUGACGGAAGACGCAAGAUCCCACGUUUGCCCAUAAUGCAGCAGUCAGAGUCCCAUACUGUCCCCCAAAAGGCGGAACACGCAAGAUCCCACGUUUGCCCAUAAUGCAGCAGUCAGAGCCCCAUACUGUCCCCCAAAAGGCGGAACACGCAAGAUCCCACGUUUGCCCAUAAUGCAGCAGUCAGAGCCCCAUACCGUCCCCCAAAAAGCGGAAAACUGGGAUUCAGAGGAAGCCUAUAAAAAGGUAGCCAACGAAGGUAAAGGGGUUAGCGAUUUUGAGAUAAAAAGAAAGAUUAAGGAAAUCCUAGAAAAAGGAAACCGACCCAAAAAGCCAUAAAAGUUGUGGCAAGUGUUCCCCAAACCUUGAUAUCUGACUUAGGCGUCGGAGGGUUUGCGCCGGGAAAACAACCGGCGUACUCUGACUUGUCUGUGUGCGCAGGAACCUCAGGAAAAGAAGCCUUACGAGGAGACCUCCCGGUAGUGGUGAAGUUGAUCGAGCAGAGAUCCUGGUCGUAUAAGGAGACCUCCUGGUCGUGGUGAAGUUGAUCGAGCAGAGAUCCUGGUCGUAGAACGAGGAGAACCAGAAUCCCGUAUCAAUAUUUUGGCGCCGUCUAUGGGGAUUUGAAUAAAAAGCUACCACCAAAUCAGUAAGUACCGGAGAAGCAGCGAACGAUCGGAUAUGGAUUCGUCAAGAAAGGAUACUUUAAGGGAGAGCAAUGAAACAGUGGAGACAAUCACUCUCCGGGAGAUUGCAAAUGAAGCCCGGGAGAGGAUGAUGCAAGAUAGACUGGAGCGGAUGGAGAAGCAAAUGGAGACUCUCGCGGCCGUGUUGUUUGAGCUGAGGGACGAGCGGAGAAGGGAUUGUGGAACCCCCGGGGAAAGAGAUGGAGUUAGAGCAGAGCCCAGCCUCCGGGGGCGUAGGGUCGGGGACAUCCCUCCGCCCGCAGACCAACCUAACGGAGUGCAUACCCACCGAAGUACUGGUCGGGUCCCAGGGGAACACGUGGACGAAGGGAGAGACCAACCUCGCCCCGGACGGGUACCGGAAAUAAAUAGCCGAGGGGCCAGUGUUGAUGAAGGAGAGCUCAGACAGCGGUUGCAGAACGUCGAGCAGGAGCGAGACCAGAUAGCUGCACGUGAUCCUGAUCGUGCUAUAGAGUUGGAGGGGGAGGUGCGCAGAUUGGCGCAGGUGAUAGAGGAGAUGCAGGGCAAGAGAAAGCCCCCAAGCUGGAGGAUAAUGCUAGACGAAGAAUCUCCGUUGUCAACAGAGAUCAUGAGUACCAUAAUCCCAAGAGAUUUCCGCUUCCCCGACCUCAAAUACUCCGGGCGAAGUGACCCGUUGGUACACAUUGAGCGCUUCAACGACAUGACGGGUGUGCAGGGGCUGACAUCAGCUCAGAGGUGUAGGGUGCUCCCGUUGACACUAGAGGGACGAGCCCGAGAAUGGUAUCGCAAGCUGCCCCGAGGAGGAAUAAAGGGGUAUGAGCAAAUGUGCCAGGAGUUGGCCGAGCAGUUCCGGGGGGCAGUGGCCCCAGAGGAUGACAUGAUGGAGUUGAUGGGGAUGAAGCAGGAGGAGCAGGAAUCCCUUCGAGAUUUCGUAAAACGAUAUCACCGAGCCGUGCUAGAUUUGGGAGCUUUUAAUCACCCGCAGGCAUUGAAGGGAUUAAAAGAGGGUGUAAGAAUCGGCCGGUUGUGGUAUAACUUAAGAAGCCCCCUCGUACAGAAUUACUCGUCGGGGUAUGAGCAGGCGAGACGGGAUAUAGAAAUCGAAGAGGAGAAAUCAGCAAGAAUUAAAAAUGAACAGCUGGAGGAGCUGAGGCGAAGGGAACGGAGAGCCCCGAAAAUGAGCGGGUCGGGAAAGCGAACUGGGGAAUCCUCAGGGAUGGGCGGAGCAUCAGUUCGAUCUCGCCCUUACCCCCUAGCUCAGAGAGCACAACAGUUCCAACACAGUCGGGCACAACCUCCGCGCCCCCCAAUACCAGAGCAGCAGCGAGAAUUCAGGCAGAUGACAGCCCGCCCUUAUCACCGCACUCCCAGAGCGGUAAGUGCGAUGAACCACAGGUCUGGCCGACCAGAGCAGGUACCGGCUAUAUCAGCCCGAGGUGACAUCCAGGAUAGCCGUGCAGUUCAGUUGGUUGACCAGAGUGCGGCAUAUAGACAAUAUACUCCAUUAAAAAUCUCCAUGGAGGAACUGUAUGAAAGGAUCGAGGGACGAGGACUGUUGUAUACUCCGGCCCCUCUAACGAAACCCGCUCACCGGCGUGAUAAGAACAGGUUCUGCAAAUUCCACAACACUCAUGGUCAUACCAUCAGCCAAUGCCGCGACCUAAGGAUUCAGGUGGAGGAUUUGGUGAGGAACCAGUACUUGGGUGAGUACAUAGAUGGAGUGUCCCCCGUCAGUGAGUCGCAAUAUGCACGGGAUGAAGGAGUUGAAAGGGGUUUGGAACGAGAACAGCCGACUAUCCAGGUGAUAGCAGGAGGGCCCACAUUGGUCGGGGAUUCAAACAGAGCACGAAAAAACUAUGGGAGAUAUGCCAUGACUGGCAAGGAAGUGCUUCUCAAUUUGCCAGCAGCCAAGAAGGCAAAAGUGCGGCAAGUUCCUAUCCUGUGGGCAGAGGAUGACGAAGAGGGCAUUUUGUACCCUCACGAGGAUGCACUGGUAAUCAAAGCAAUGGUAGCCAGUACAGAAUUGCGGCGAAUACUGGUAGACACGGGCAGCUCAGUAGACAUUCUGUUUAAGUCGGCCCUAGAUGAUAUGGGAAUUUCAGAUUUAAAGCUGGAGCGGACAAACACUUCCUUGAAAGGAUUUGGAGGGGGGCGGUUAACUCCCUUGGGGGUCAUUGAACUCCCGAUUACUGUGGGGACAAAGCCGUUUGAACGAACGAUGAUGCUGGACUUUGUCGUGGUAGAGGAAAGAAGCCUUUACCAGAUGAUACUGGGGAGACUAUUCAUGAGGAUAAGCCAAUGUGUAAUGUCCACGCAUUAUCUGGCGCUAAAGUAUAGAAUAAAUGGAGUUGUGGGCGUGGUAAAGGGCGACCAGAGAAUGGCCAGAAGCUGCUAUGCUACAGCGGCCAAGGAAACGCUGCAGGUUACCUCUCUAGAUAACCGAGGGGAUUCAAAAAAUGGUCGUCAGGAACCUGUUGAGAAGCUGGAGGAAGUUGUUAUAAGCAGGAGUGACCCUAGCAGAGUUGUUAAGGUCGGGUCGGAAUUGGGCGAAGCAAUAAAGGCCGAGCUGGUGAAGUGUCUGCAGUCCCAUGCGGACGUAUUUGCCUGGUCUCAUGAGGAUAUGCCAGGUAUUGACCGCGGGAUAGCUUGUCACAAGCUGGCGGUCAAAAGAGGGGCAAGGCCGGUGAGGCAGAAAAUGAGGUGCUUCAACCAUGAAAGGUACGAGGUCAUAAAUGCCGAAGUGGAAAAGCUGCUAAAAGCAGGAUUUAUAAGGGAAGCCAAGUACCCGGAAUGGAUUUCCAAUGUGGUACUGGUAAAGAAGGCCAAUGGGAAGUGGAGAAUGUGUGUAGACUUCACGGACCUCAAUAAGGCAUGCCCGAAUGACAGCUUUCCCCUACCAAAAAUAGAUCAGUUGGUGGACUCAACCGCGGGUCAUGGUCUGCUCAGCUUCAUGGACGCCUUCUCCGGAUACAACCAGAUACCCAUGAACGAGCAGGACGAGGAAAACACUACCUUUAUAACUAACAUGGGUCUGUUUUGUUACAGGAUGAUGCCCUUUGGCCUGAAAAAUGCAGGAGCUACGUAUCAAAGGUUAGUGAACAAGAUCUUCAAACCAUUGAUCGGUCACACCAUGGAAGUAUAUGUGGACGAUAUGAUCACCAAGUCAAGAGAACCGAGAGAUCAUGUGAAGCACCUGGAGGAGACUUUCGAAUUGCUGAGGAAGUACGAAAUGAAGCUGAACCCGGAGAAGUGUGCAUUUGGGGUCGGCUCGGGCAAAUUUUUGGGAUACCUGGUAAGCCAUCGGGGUAUUGAAGCCAACCCAGAAAAAAUACGAGCGGUAAUAGAAAUGAGGUCCCCACGAACAGUUAAGGAGGUGCAGAGCCUUACGGGGAAAUUGGCAGCAUUAAACCGAUUCAUUUCGCGAGCCACUGAUAAGUGCCACCCUUUCUUCCAAGUCAUAAAGAAAGGGAAGAAGUUGGAAUGGACACCGGAAUGCGAGGGGGCAUUUGGACAGCUGAAGGAAUACCUAGCCUGCGCCCCGUUACUAUCGACUCCGAGAGAGGGUGACCAGUUGUUGCUAUACUUAGCAAUCUCUAAGUGGGCUACCAGCUCGGUAUUGGUCAGGGAAGAAGAAGGAAAGCAACACCCGGUAUACUACACGAGCAAGGCUUUGGUAGAGGCGGAAACCAGAUAUCCGCUAAUGGAGAAGUGGGCUCUGGCUUUGAUAACGGCAGCACGCAAGCUCCGACCAUACUUCCAAGCCCACCAGAUCGUUGUGAUGACUGACCAGCCACUUCGGCAAGUGCUUCAAAAACCAGAUGCGUCUGGUCGGUUAGUAAAGUGGUCCAUGGAGCUGAGCGAAUUUGACCUGUCCUACAGGCCCCGAGGAGCAAUCAAGGCACAAGCCCUGGUAGAUUUUAUGGUGGACUGUGUUGAACCGAGGGAAGAGGUCCAAGAGGAACAACCGGCAGAGAAAGAGGAUUCAAAGGGGAUAUGGCUGGUAAUGGUUGACGGAUCACGUAGUGAGCAAGGAUCCGGUGCAGGAGUUGUAAUACGGAGCCCAGAGGGAACCGAGAUAACAUAUGCGGUGAAGUUCGAAUUUCAGCUCACAAACAACCAAGCUGAGUAUGAAGCCUUUAUCGCCGGGCUCGGGCUUGCACACGCUCUAAGAGCAGAAAGGGUAGAAAUCCGAGCAGAUUCCCAAUUGGUAUGUAAUCAACUCAACGAUCAGUUCCAAGCAAGGGGAGAGAAGAUGUGUCUUUAUUUAAAAAAAGCGAAGCAGAUGGUCGGGCUUUUCCGAGAGGUGGAAGUAAAGCAGAUAUCUCGGAAUGAGAAUUACCGAGCGGAUAUGCUGGCUAGGAUGGCUGCAAUUGCAGAUCCAAAAUUGCCUAAGUCGGUUCCACUAGAGUUAAGGACCUCGCCGAGUAUAGAGGAGGAAGUAGAGGUGAUGAGAGUAAGCGCUGAAGAAUCCUGGAUGGAUCCGAUUCGCGCAUAUGUCCGCGAUGGAGUUUUACCAGAGGACAAAAGGCAAGCAAGAAAAUUAAAGUGCCGAGCCGCAAGGUAUACGCUACUGGAUGGAGUAUUGUACCGCCGAGGGUUCACCUUGCCCCUUUUGAGGUGUUUGGAUGAUGAGGAGGCGGAUUAUGUGCUGAGAGAGAUUCAUGAGGGAAUAUGCGGCAAUCACUCGGGAGCAAGAACUUUAGCCUUCAAGGCCCUCCGGCAAGGAUACUUCUGGCCAACCCUGCACCAGGAUGCCAAAAGGAUGGCAAAGAAUUGUAAAACAUGCCAAAGCUUCUCCGAGGUUCCUGCACAACCCCCGGAAAAGCUGACAGCUAUGACAUCCCCAUGGCCUUUCGCUCAGUGGGGAAUCGACUUGAUUGGUCCAUUGCCUAAGGGACGAGGAGCGGCGACACAUGCAAUUGUGGCAAUAGACUACUUCACCAAGUGGGUGGAAGUGAGAGUCCUCAGCCAGAUCACAGAGAGGAAGACGACAGAUUUUAUCUGGAAAAAUAUCAUCUGCAGAUAUGAGAUCCCCUACGCCGUCAUCACAGACAAUGGGAGGCAAUUUGACAACGGCAACUUCAGGGAAUUUUGCCGAAACCUGGGGGUGGACCUGAGGUUCUGCACCCCCGCACACCCCCAGGCAAACGGACAAGUGGAAGCAGCCAACAAGGUGAUAAAGAAGCUCCUAAAGACUAGAUUGGGAGAGAAGAAUGGAGCUUGGGUUGACGAGCUACCAGGAGUACUGUGGGCCUACAGGACAACUCACAAAACCACCACAGGAGAAACACCGUUCGCUUUAGCUUUUGGUCAUGAAGCGGUAAUCCCAGCAGAGGUUGGAGUGGGAACACAUCGAACAGAAUAUUUCACUGAGGAGCAAAAUGACAAGCAGAUUUGCUUAAGUCUGGACCUGCUGGAGGAGAAAAGGGAAGGGGCCUCGCAGAAAGUGGCCCAAUGUCAGCAAAGGGUCAUGCGUUAUUACAACAAAAAUGUACGCGUGAGGCAGUUUCGAGCAGGGGAUUGGGUACUUAGGAAGGUGAACCAGAACACCAGGAAUCCUAACCAUGGGUCUCUCGGCCCAAAGUGGGAAGGCCCAUACCGAGUGAUACGAGCCACUGGACCAGGAGCAUACAAAUUAGCAUGCCAAGAUGGACGAGACGUGAAGAGGUCAUGGAACGCCGAACACCUAAAGAAGUAUUUCCAGUAAGCAGAAUGCUCUCUUAAAUCCUCACUCUGACAAGUUAUUUCUGUUGCAAUGCCUGAUAACCUGUCGCACAUGCAUAUAUUCUAUGUUUUUGAAAUACAUUCGAAUUCCAAUAAAGAUGAAGUCAGCAUGAAAUCCCUCUGCUAGCAAGAUCAAUAAAAAUUCUACUAAGGCAAGUAAGUGCCUAAUUCUGCUCGGUCAACGAAAGACCAGCAGCUAAAUUUAUGAAAUUUUACUAAGGCAAGUAAGUGCCUAAUUCUGCUCGGUCAACGAAAGACCAGCAGCUAAAUCUAUGAAAUUUUACUAAGGCAAGUAAGUGCCUACUUCUGCUCGGUCAACGAAAGACCAGCAGCUAAAUUUACGGAAUUUUACUAAGGCAAGUAAGUGCCUACUUCUGCUCGGUCAACGAAAGACCAGCAGCUAAAUUUAUGAAAUUUUACUAAGGCAAGUAAGCGCCUACCUCUGCUCGGUCAACGAGAGACCAGCAGCUAAAUUUACGAAGUUUCUACUAAGGCAAGUGCCUACUUCUGUUCGGUCCACGAAAAACCAGCAGCUAAUUCUAUAAAAAUUCUGCUAAGGCAACAAGUGCCUACUUCUGCUCGGUCAAAGAAAGACCAGCAGCUAAAGCUUCGAAGAUUUUACUAAGGCAAACGGAUGCCUAUUCCUGUUCGACGCACCAAAGAACCGACAGGCAAAACCAGACAAGAAAGCCAAUAGAGAGCGUUCAAAAAUUUUUAUAAAUGUUCAAUCGUUUACAAAACAAAUGCAAAUUUAGAGUUUAUACAAAAAAUAAGGUCAAAGUUUAGCAGAGUCAGCGGCUUCAGCAGCUGAAGGAUCAGCGAGCUCGGGAAGUAAGGGAUCAGCAAUAUCAGGAGGUGGGAGAUCAGCAACGCCGGGAGGAGGAGGCAUGGACCCUUGACCCACUUCGAAAGUGCGUCCCCCAGCUUCCCCCUCUUGCACCCCAUCCAAAGGGGCCUCCACCUGCUCCUGCUCGCCCUGCUCCGUAUCUGAGUGGUCGACCUGCGCCAUAUACCGCUGCACUCCGGCCUCCAGUUUGCUCAUGUCCAUCUCGGGAUAUUCUGUCUUAAGCACAGACAUGAUGCACUUGUAGGAGAAGGCAACCCCAGAAUCAUACUCGGCAUCCAGCCGAUCAUCCACAUCAGCGGAUUUGCCCUUCUCCUCAGCCAGCUGCUCGCCCAAGGAUCUGAUUUCCCCCUCAAGGGCGGCCCUCAAAGUAUCCCUUUCAGCUUGAGUAGCCUGAAGAUCAGAUCUCAGGUCACCCAGCUCGCCCUCGAGUUUGGAGGAAGUGGAUUCAGCAACCGCGACUUUCUCCUCCAGCUCCGUAAUUUGCUUGUUCAGCUCGGCUAGUUUCUCCUUGGAGCGGUCAGCAGAUUCAGCUUUAUUUUUCAGCUCUUGAUUGUCAGCUUGAAGCUUCUUCUCAUGACGCGCGGACCCAGUCUUGUAACACGAGACCAUUGUGGCCAAUCUGAAGGAGACUCUCUGAACAGAGGCAGCCAACUCGGAGAGGCUCAUGCUCUCGAUGUCAUUCACCAGCUUGGGCCCAACCGACCUUUUAUAAUCCUUCUGAUACGGACUUAGGUAGUCACCUUGAUCCCGAGAUGGAAGAGGAGAAGAUCGGUCCCCAGACUGCAAGCUGACCUCAGGACUCUUGUCGAAAGUUUUCUCCCCACCACUCUUACGAGAUGGAGGAGGGGGCAGAGCAGGAACAGGCGCCUUGGAAGGACCAACGCUAGGUCUCUUCGGAGGAGGAGGAAGAUUGCUGGAGCUACUCGGGCCCCGUCCACGCUUCCUGCUCAUCGCGCUGAGGAUCUUGUUAUUCAUCCCGGCAGCUAUGUCCACUAAGCCCGAGCCGACCAGACUUGUUGGUGACAGGAGGUCUUGGCAGGUAGACGCGUUCAAUAGAGCCGUUUCCACCUGAAGCAAAGGCCGAUCUUCAAGCCCCCCGACCAGACCCCACGACUCUGAAAUAGCACAGAAGGUUAAGGAACCCAAUAAGUAGCAAUCUAAUUAAGAAUAUAGGAAAAAAUGAACGACCUGGGGUGACAAACUGGGUGGGAAGAUAAAUGUCCCCACCAAGCGACCGAACCGCUGGACACCAAUUCCCUCCAGCAAAGAAGAAUUUGUUCUUCCAAUUUUUACAGGAAGAUGGAAACCCGGUGAUCGGUUUCCUCUUUGCGGAACUGGACAUGAAAUAGUACCAGCCUGCCUCCCUCGGGCUACUCCGCAGCUGGUACAGAUGUUUCACCUCAACAAGAGAAGGCUCCUCCGACCCGCACCUCUCCCACAACACAAACAUUGCCGAAAGAACCCUCCACCCAUUUGGGUGUAGCUGACCUGGGGCCAGGUGCAUACCGCCCAGUAUCUUGGCAAAGUAAGGUUGAAGGGGCAGCCGAGCUCCUAGUCUGAAACUCUCCAAGUGCAUCGUCACAUACCCUUUCGGAGGCCGACUAGGGACAUCACCUUUUCCAGGAAUUACAAGAAGAACCUCGUUGGGGAUGUUGUAAAGGUUCCUAAGUUUAAAUAGAUCAGUGGGGGUGGUGGCGCAAGCCAUGAAAUCAAUAGGGUAGGAAUCAGCCUCCACCCUGUGGCCUAGGUACCUUUUCUGAGCAGGUCGGCUCGGUCCGGAACUGCUCCCCUCACUAUCGCCAACUCCUUCAGGGAUCCCAACCCCACCAGAACUGUGGUUUUCACCAGAGCCCGACGCAGGUCCGCCCCUAUUCCCUACAAGCUCUAGCUCGGGGGAAGGAGAAAUAACCAAAGGGCGUGGGUAUUCAAGGGUAUCCCUGCCAUGGGCAGGACCUACGCUACUGGAGGGGCCUAAGUAAUCAGUGGGUAUUGGCACAUUGAGGCCUGCGUCCCCUGACUCUUCGUCGCCCUCAUCUAUAAUCAACUUCUUUCUCCGAUUCGACAUACCGGAAUCCCAAAGGAAAACCAAAACAAACCCAAGUACACGAAUACAAAAAGGGGCAACACAGAACCCAAUCAACAACAGCCAAAGAAGAGGUUAAAGGCAAUACCUGGAACAGACUGACACUGAUAGCGCUGCCGUGACAGAGAAAACACCCAGCCAAUGGAUACUCCGGACGCUGGAAAUGUGAGCAAAGUUCAGAGAAAAUUUUGGUUAACGGCGGAGAAACGAGUAACAAGAUGAUAAUGACUCCAGUCUAGGGAUUUGAAACGAAAAGGCGGAAAUGGAAGCAUUUAAGUGAUGGGAUAUGCCAGCUCACCCCCCAUAUAUCGAGGACUGAUAGCCCGUCGUUUCAAAUUUCAAAUACGAAGGGUCGGGAAGCGCCACGUCACCAACCGUUACAAGAGGCCAGGAUAGAUGUAAGCCCAGUACGCGAUGGACAUGCUCCUUUAGGCCCAUGCUCGAGUCAGAGUCGCCCCAGAAGAAAAACGGUACCUCAGGUCCACCCCAGCAAACAAAGGACCAGAUGAGAAGUUCCCCGGUUGGCGAGAUUUGACCAUCAGUUUCUACUCUUCACUCAUUUCACUCGCCAGACCAGAAACUGGGGGACUGGUGUUGAGUACAUAAAAGUACCAGGUCGGCCACGCUACCAUUCCGCACGGAUCGCCUCGGCCAAAGUGAUAUGAGCAGAACACUGAGGCUAACAUGAGCCGACCAGAGAUGAGUACUGACCAGAGGUAUAAGCAGAGCCAAUACUCGUCCCCCAAACAAAAGGCGAAAACACGAUCUCACAGAAUCACGGCAGUUGUGCUUUCCCAGAACCGUGACGGAAGACGCAAGAUCCCACGUUUGCCCAUAAUGCAGCAGUCAGAGUCCCAUACUGUCCCCCAAAAGGCGGAACACGCAAGAUCCCACGUUUGCCCAUAAUGCAGCAGUCAGAGCCCCAUACUGUCCCCCAAAAGGCGGAACACGCAAGAUCCCACGUUUGCCCAUAAUGCAGCAGUCAGAGCCCCAUACCGUCCCCCAAAAAGCGGAAAACUGGGAUUCAGAGGAAGCCUAUAAAAAGGUAGCCAACGAAGGUAAAGGGGUUAGCGAUUUUGAGAUAAAAAGAAAGAUUAAGGAAAUCCUAGAAAAAGGAAACCGACCCAAAAAGCCAUAAAAGUUGUGGCAAGUGUUCCCCAAACCUUGAUAUCUGACUUGGGCGUCGGAGGGUUUGCGCCGGGAAAACAACCGGCGUACUCUGACUUGUCUGUGUGCGCAGGAACCUCAGGAAAAGAAGCCUUACGAGGAGACCUCCCGGUAGUGGUGAAGUUGAUCGAGCAGAGAUCCUGGUCGUAUAAGGAGACCUCCUGGUCGUGGUGAAGUUGAUCGAGCAGAGAUCCUGGUCGUAGAACGAGGAGAACCAGAAUCCCGCAUCAACAUACCUUAUUCAUGGGAUGAAUAAUACACCCAGCUGCAAACAAACUCAGUGCAUUAGCUGUUUGUGAGUGAUUUUGAGUGUGGUGUGAGUUUUUGUAUAGGUGAUAAAUACGUAAGAAGCAAAGAGUGUUGUGAGUUGUGUGUGUGUUUUAUAUUUUUCUUUAGGGAUAUUUUAGACAAUAUACCACAUAAAAAGGCAUACUUAGAUAAUUUUCAAACAUGGGGUAUAUUUAACUAAAUACACUACUUUUAAGGCAUAUUUAAUUAAAAACCCCCAGAAGAAGUGGUCACGAUUUAGUUUAGAGUGUUUAGACUUUACUCACUUUAGGGAUUCCGGUUGUUAUUCGGUUUAUUUGAUAAUCGGUUCGGUUUUUCGGUUUUUUUUUUUAAAAUCGAAAACCGAACCGACUGGUUUUACUAUUAUUACUAUAUUACUUAUUCGGUUUUUUGGGUGUAAAAAAACCGCAAAAAAACCGAACGGAACCGAACGGUUCGGUUCGAUUUUUGAUUAACCAACUUUUUUUGCCCACCCCUAGUUGUGAUAGUUUUGCAAAUAAAAGUAAAAACUUUUUCCCUAAAUUCGGCUGAGCUAAAAGCAAGCUUAGCCCACACUCUCCUUCGCCACCGGUUGACGAGCUCUUCCUUCAAAUUUUGAACUUGAAGUGAUGCCCCAUCGAUGUCCAGAAUUUUUAAAGUCUCCCCAUUGUACAUGUACGUUGACGUGUUUAAUUGAUGUUUAUUUAAGCAGAAAUUGAAGUUUGAUCCUGAUUAAGUAAAUGAGAUCACACAUUCAUGAGUAAUUACUUAAAAUUAAAUUAAUCAAAAUAGUAAAUACGCGAGAAAAUGGAUCAUAUUCGUGCAGACACCACAAUCGAAUUAUAUAUAUCACCGCCGCACAUAAAUCUUAUUCCAAUGAUAUAUGAUUAAUUAAUUAUUUUUUUUAAUAACAAUUAAAUUGUAAUGUCAAUUGUCCACAUAAGAUUUUUUUGUUGUUGAUGAAAGUAAUUUUUUCCAUCUUUUGAAUAAUAAUUGUUAAUACAAAUCAAAAAGAUAUUGAGACUUGAAAUCCGGGUCUACUUGAGUUAGAAUUUUUUAUUAGAAAAACUAUUAGCCAACGAUUUAAAAAUAAAGAAGCAACACAAGAUAAAAAGUAAAAUGAGAGAGCAUAUAUUAUAAAAAGAUUUUACCCAUUCCAAGUGUGUACCAAACAAAGAGAUGAAUUUUCCUUUUAUAGUUACAUCAUUAUUAUAUAAAAUUAAUGAAAACAUUAUGAAUUAUAAUUCUUUGCGAGAUAGUGGGGGUUAUAGAAAAGUCAAGAGUUGCUAGUGAAAAAUAGUAGAAAGACUAAAAGAUAUAUAUUAUGAAUAUUUAUAUUUAUUUUAAUAAAUUCAUAAUAUUUUUUCCUUAAAUAAUUGGAAGGACCGAAGGAGUUUACGUGUGUGUAUAUAUAUAUAUAUAUAUAUAUAUAUGGACAUAAAAAUUGCAGGACGUGUAUUCUAGCGUUUCUUGGUUGUUCAGUGCUAGUUUUUAAAACCUCGAGCACGCGGGUUAUUUUUCGUUACCCUUAUCACCGAAAGGCUGUUUUAACCAACUAAAAACUUAAAGCUAAAACCCAAAACGCUCCUCUUGUUCGUUUCCGGGGACUUCACCUUGAUGGCCGAAAAGCAACUGGAAAUCCUCCGCGGGUACGAGCUGCGGCUCUUGCGCCACACCCUCGCUCCCCCACCGUCCGAUCUUCGCAUUCAAUCGCAACCGUUGAACGAAGAAAGCCAAUGCUCUCUCCUUCCACUCCACAAGCACAUCAACAGCCUCAUCGACUCCAUCGAGUCCGGCCACUAUCUCCAGGCUCUGUCCUCCGACGCGGCUGAACUCGUGCUCGACACGCUCGACUUCGUCGACAUCAACGACUCUGCCGACUGUGCCGACCGCGUCUACUCCGAGCUGCUCCAGCUUGUCGAAGCGUUUAUAGUGAACGAUUCCGAAAAUGACGUGGAUAAGGCUUGUCGAGUUAUUCUGCUCAUGUGUCUUUCAAUUGCUGCUCUUUUUUGGUUCACUCAGUGUAACGUGACUGGGUGAGUUUCUUAUUUAUAAAUUUUUAAAUAAUUGCAAUUAAUAUAAUAAAUAUUAGUAAAAAAAAAAAAAAAAGGUUUAGUGAUGAACGUUUGAACUUGAAUUAAUAGAGGCCUUUAGUUGAUAAUUCGCCAAAGUGUCGGUUUCCACUAGAAGUUUAAACUUUAGAAGGCAACGAAUUGAUAGAGUGGGAGAAUUGGGCGCGUUAUCAGCUCAUUUCUGUUGGCUCUGACUUGCUGGGAAAGUUCUCCUAUCUUCAGGUACUCAGUCUAUCGAAAAAUGAACAGAUUCUAUUGCUUAGACAGUGUUAAUGUUAAUAUUAUCUUUUUUAACUUAUUUUACAUUUUGUGAUCUUUUUGUAAUAUAUAGUUUUUACCAAAAUGUUGAUCAUGAAGACAAAAGAUUUGCUGUCUGAUGCAACUGUGUUGCCUGUGAAUGGGAUUAGAACCAUUUCAUGGUGGCUCACAAGACUCCUACUUAUGCAUCAAAGGAUUUUAGACCAGUGGCCGUCUUCUUUGUAUGAUCUAUUGAAAGUUUUUAUGGCUGAGACUUUACAACACUUUGGCACUUUGGAAAAUGUUAGUACUUAUUGGGGCAACCAGUUGCAUGAUAUCGAUCCUUCAGAGAUUGUUUCAACAUUUCAUUGAAAAGCUAGCUGAUGAGAUCAACAUGUCCCUUAAGUAAUUUGAGGAUGAACACUGUGUUCCCGAAAGUCUUACUCUAAUGAUACUUGAAGAAGCAAUGAGAAUGGAUGUUGCAGCAGCUUUGCUGAACUCAACCCCAGUUCCAAACAUGGAACAUUUGAAAACCAAAAAUGCAUUGUUUUUUUUUUCUCUUUAUGACUUCUCUAGUUGGGGAAUGUAUUAGAUAUUCACCUAAUCAGUAGGCCUUGAAGGGAUCCCAUGUUAGCCCCUUGAUGUUGGUCUGUAACUAAGUACAUACUUGACCUUGAAAAUGCUUUUGGAGGCAUCAGUUUCUCUCUGACUGUGUGCUACUUUUUGGAUCUGUUGAUUUGGUCAUUUGCUGAUUUAUAGUUUGUUUUCUGAUUCAGGAUGGGAUAUGGCUCCAUACAUAGAGGCAAUUGAUUCACAGCAGUCGUCAUGCUUCAUUGUAAGUAUAUAUGCAAUACAGCGUCAGUUUUUCUUGAUUUUAAAUCUCAUAUUCUGAAGUGGCACUUCUGAUUCUCACAUGAUUUUUCCAUCUUUCAGCUAAAGGUUUUCUGUGAUCUCUUACCUAUUAGAUGGGAGUCCACCCGUAGUCGCACAGAAGGGUGUGCUUUAGAGAUGAUGGACAAACUGGUAUGAUCUGUGAGCCUUUUCUUCUUAAAUAUUUUGUUACCUAAACCAUUUUCAUUCAAAUUGACAAGAGUUGCUUAUCGAUCUAUAGAAGAGUCCAAACUUUCUGCAUCUAGUACUUUAUUGGACCCAAAAAGCUUUUUUGCUUUUUCUAAGCUGCUAAUCAAGACUAGGUUUCUCUCCCUUAUAUCGCUAGAUAUCCCAUUAAUCGUUUGAUUUAAUUGUCUAGAGAGAUUAGGUACUUGCAUCUUUGCUUUUCACUUCACAAGUGAUUUCAUGUGCUAUCCUGUAUUCUGGUUCAAGAUUUUUAAUGGUUGCUUACCAUCAUAUUUUGCUUUGUUUCAGGUUGAGGGCAUUUCUAAUUCUUCUCUGGGUGUGACUCAAAGUAUUCCCUUUUGUUAUGUGAUUUAUGUUCCAACUAUUCCUGUCCUGCGAAAGUAAAACUAUUUCUUCUGCAUCUUUGAAUGAUUGUGAUUUAAUUUUCUUGUCAUUUUGCUAACUAUCAUUAUGCUGUCAUUGUUUCAUAUCUUAUUUGACAUAUGUUGAUUUGGUUAGAGUUUAAUUGCUCUGUUUAUUAAGCUGUGGCUUGAUUGGAGAGGCUAUUAAAAUUUUUGAGGAUCUGGAGUUGUGGGAUAAUCUAGUAUACUGCAACUGGUAUGAUGUCAUAGAUAACCAUUAUCCUAAUCUCUCUGUCUAUCUCUGUCUAUCUCUCUCUUUCUCUCUCUUUUGUGUUGCUAGUGGGAGUUGGUUUUGUGUAUGAUGUAAAAACAGCCUAUUGGGGAAGAAAGCAGCAGCUGUUGAACUAAUAAAAGCAAGGCUGUCUGAAAAGCCUAAUGACCCUAGAUUAUGGUUUGUUGAUGAGCCUUUUCUAUGAUCCAUUUUAUAGUUACUUCUCAUUUCAGUUAUAUCCAUUGUUGAUGUCACUUAUUGCAAUCUAGGGAUAAUUGUUCAUUGGAUGUGAGGAUAUUGUCAGAAGAAAAUGAAACCUUUUAAUUUUAUCUUUUACUUGCUGUAUCCGAUUUAAAAGCUCACUGUGCGUUCUUACUGAUUGCUUUUGGUCUUGCAUUUGAGUCAAUGUAUUUUAUACUCAUAUUCUGACAUUUAUUGUUAGUCUUCUGACGGUUCUGCACCUUGGUCCUAUAUUAUCUUCAGCAGUAUUAUCUAAAAGAUAAGUUUUUGCCGAAGAAAAUUUGCAUUAUAAACUAGAAAAGGAGGGGGGGGGGGUGUGAAGGAAGCAUCAGGAGACUGUUUUCCACUUAUCCUCUUCCCUGCCUGCAUUUUAGAUGAUUCUGAUGCACCAGGUGCUGUGAAAUGGUUGAGAAAUACAUACCAUCAAGUGAAUUCAGAAAAUCAUAUCCUUUCUGAGAAUAUUUAGUGUAUGACAUUUGAAUAUGUGGCCACAAUUUAAACAAUAAAGAUUUUCUGCAUUGAUUUCUUAUAAUGGAUAUAUGCAUGUAAUUAUAAUAUGAUAUCUUUUGAUUAUUGACCCAUUUGUUUAGAAAGAAGGAAAAAAAAAAAAAAAACUUGGUUGAAUGACAACUGUUACUUGACCUUAUCUCGGUCUCUUCACUGCCGUUUGUUUCUUAUAACUUGUGGUGAUAAUGUAGCCAGAAUGAUGAGUUGAAAUGUGGGUUGCUGACUUGUGAUACAUUUAGUAGGUGUUCAUUAGGUGAUGUUACAAAUAAUGAUGCCUGCUAUGAAAAAGCUUUGGAAGUUUCGAAUGAUAAGUCAGCUCGAGCUAAGGUGAUAUUCGUUGCACAGAGAAAAUGUAGUUCACAUCAUGCUUGUACCAUGAUCAUUUUUUAGUUAACAUAUCUUUAUGUGAAUCGCAGGUCUCUAGCUCGUAGUGCAUACAAUAGAGGGGAGUACGAGACAUCUAAAAUCCUUUGGUAUGUUGCUUUAAUGCUUUACUUCUCUUUCUGCCACACAGUAAUUUGCAGCAUUGACAACUGAUACGGCUGAAUGACAAUUUACCCUUGGUUUUGUCUCAGGGAGGCUGCCAUGGCCUUGAAUUCUUUGUAUCCGGAUGGCUGAUUUGCUCUUGGUGCUGCUGCAUUGAAGGUAUCUUAUUUUUGUAUUAGUAUGUGUUUAGUUUGGAGAGAUUUCUUAUCCUUUUGCCCCAAGUUUCUGAAACUCUCGGCUGAAAUAUAAAUACAGGCUUGGGAUGUUGAAAAGGCUCUGGAUGGGUUUACUCGGGCUGUUCAACUUGAUCCAGACAAUGGGGAAGCUUGGAACAAUAUUGCUUGCUUGUGUGCCUUUUUCUUUGUCAUCGAGUCAUUCCAUCCUCUUGCUCUGUAUUCUUUAAUAUGGUGUCAAUCACGUUCAUCUUCUAUCUGCAAGAGUAUGCUUCCCAUAUUUGGUUUACUUUGUUUUGACUUUCUUGUUGCAGUUGUUCUAUAUAAAUUUUAUAUGGUUCCAUAUUCCCUUCAUGAGUGAAUUUAGUUGCUGCAAAUGCUAAGAACUAGAUAGUACUGUUAUAUUUAGGAAUAGGGCAAAUAUUAGCCAGCUCUUUUGAGGAUUAUCCAUAGCAUAUGCCUCCAUCGUUUUUAAAGCAAUUGAAGUUCUCCUUUUCGUCUUAUUUAAAAGAGAAAAGCACAAAUUGCUUCCCUCACAUCUCUCUACAGUCUCUUUUCUCUCUGUUUAAUUUUUUCUUGUGCUUAUUAUUUGUCUUUUAAUGCGUCUUUUCUUCUUAUUUUAUACUGUACUAGAAUUUGUGCAGUCUCAAUUUCAUCUUGUCUGUGACUUACUGUAUUUUUCGCAAUUGUGGAACUUUAUUUAGCAGCAUAAUUAUUAGUUAGUGAGACAUUAAUUGGUUAAUACCACUUGUGAAGAUACCAAGAGCUACUUAUUCUCUCUUCUAGUACAUUUAAAAAAUUCAUGACAAAAUAUCUGGGAUGGUAAAAUUCUCGUCAAUUAUAACUACGGAAGUCUUGAGAUUUAUGUAAUCUUGCAGGCAUAUGAUCAAGAAGAAGAGCAAAGAGGCUUUUAUAGCAUUCAAGGAGGCCCUAAAGUUCAAGUUCUGUCUUUUUUCCCCCUGAUCACUACAUUUUUAUUUUCUGUCAUGUGCAAUGCAGUUGGAUACUAUCUGAUCACAAGAACACUGUCAUACAUAAUUUGUUGCUGCUAGGCAAAGGUGAUAUCUAAUGUAAUAACCUGUAACAUGAUUUUGUAACAGACGGAACGGUUGGCAAUUGUGGGAAAACUACAGCCAUGUUGCUUUGGAUGUGGGCAAUAUUGGUCAGGUAACCGCGGUUGUGCGCUUAAUGUCGAUCAUUUAUCACUGAAAUCUUUUGAGAUGAAGUUGGCAUUUUCUUAGGCCAUUAAUUGUAGCUUUGAAAAAAGCUCUGCUUCGGCAUGCGCAAAAGUCAAAGAAAUGGGACAUGUGCUCAUGCAUUAUGCAGGCAGCAUAUGGGAGAUAGCAGACGUAUUUAAUCUUUUAGUCUUUGUUUACCAAGCUUUGUUAAUAAUGUCACAUUACAUUAGGGGAAAGCCGGGAAUUUUGUUUGUUGGUUCACGUGAUAAGUAUAUGUAAAAAAAUAAUAUAUGGUCGAUAAGUCAUGCUUUGUUAAUAAUAUAUCUUAUUGAUAAGUCAAGAGUUUGAACGCUAAAAAAAUUCGAUAAGUUCAAAAAAUUUGUUUAAAAAAAAAUUAACUCUCUCACCAAUUGCAUAUAUGUCUCUAUUUAUUGGAUGCAAGUAUAUUAUUUAAGGUUGGUUACAAGAAUUUUUGAAAAUAAAUCCUAAAUUAAAUCAAAUCAGAAUCUAAAUUUAAACAAAUAGAAAAGAAUUUAAAUUAAAUCAGAAUCCUAAGUAAACUAAAUACGAUUCAUAUUUGCUGGGCAUCCUAUGGUCUGUGGGUCAUUAAUAAUCUAUAGUAUCUAAAUUUCUAGACAAAAUUGGUCAUUUUUGCAAAUCAUUUGGACAUAUCUAUGCAGCAGUUUACUAUUUUAGUGCUCGCAGGAAUUGGUAUGCUUAAAUUUUGGGCUCAAAUUGUGUGAAAAUAAUCAAAGUGAUAUGCAAGUUAAUUCAAGACACAUGAGGAAAGAAUAUCCUUUCCUCUGUUCUUUUAUGUAUUGCUUACAUGCCGUGAUUUCAUUAACCUCAAUUUAAGGACAAUUUUUUUUUAUCAUUUAAAAACAAUACACACACACACGUAUAUAUUUCAGAAAGCAUUUAAACAAAGCAACCGAACGUUGCUGGUGUCUAUUGUAACAAUGACAGCAGUAAAGCAAAAAGCAACUGAAAGUUAUCUUUAUAUGAGAAAGAUAGCUUUUCAGCAGCAUAAGCCUUUCACUAUUCAAUUCCAAACAUGUUCCUCAACGUGAUAACAAAUUCGUAACCUUUUCUGGGUCUGGAAGGAUCCUGGCAACAGUUUCUCUUUGCCUGCACUUGUUCAUCCAUGCUGAGAAUUUGGGGCACUCAUUCUCAACCUUAAAUCCCCCAAAUUUCUCAACCGCGUAAAACCAACAAGUCAGUGGAAUGGCAAUGACAUCAACGAAUCCAAAGCUAUCCCCGCCAAAGAAAUCCUUCUCCCCUAAAGCUCCCUCAAGUUGCUUCAAUAUCUCUAUAAAUUCAUUCUUCGCCGUCUCUGGGACCUCGCCCUUGCUUUUCCAUGUGUUGCAUACUGCAUCGAAUACCUACCAAAAGAGUGGUGUCAUCUUUUAAGUUCGCAUUUAGAAAAAUACAAACAUUUACACUUGAGAAUCAUAGACUGACCUUCUUGUCAAUAAAAUCUGCCCAGAACCUUGUCUUAGCUCUCUCAUAAGCACAGGAUGGGAGAAGUGGUGGCGAAGGCCAAGUCUCGUCAAUUUAGUUAACUAUAAUAGUGGAUUCACACAAUGGUUUCCCAUCGUGUAGAAAAACUGGGACUUUCUUGUAGAUGGGGGUUUGAUUUGAGCAGCAGGUCACUCUUGCCCCCAAACAAGUUCUCAGCUCUGGCUUCAUAUUCAACUCCUUUCUCAGCCAAUGCAAUCUUUGCUCUCAAGCAAAAUGGGCUAGCCCAACAAUCCAAAAGAACAACCUCUCCCUUGGACAUAUUCGCUUUCUUUGUUCUUGUUUCUUUUAGUUGGUUGAUAGUAAUUAAACCUUGAGUAUCAAGGUUGGCAUUUAUGAAGUAGAUAAGAUGAAAUUCCCAAAGUUUGUGUCGCAAUCAAGGUUUGUUCGUUGGCACUUCCUUAAAGGAUGUGCCAUUGUUCUUAUCAUUUCUUAGUUUUUGAAGCUAACUGUUUUACUUGGCUUUCAACAUGCACAAGAACAAGUUUGUCUUGUGUAUGCGGAGUUUACUAAGGACAAGCAGAAUCGUAAGUAAGCAUUUACACUAAUCGUAAGUAAGCAUUUAAUAAGUAAUGUAAAAAGUCUCUAGGAUUUUGCCUAAUAUUUCUCAAAAUAGGCUCAUUAAGCCCAAUUCUGGUGCUAGUUUGGUUCAACUUUGAAUCAAACUUGGAAACAUUUUUCUUUAGAUUAUUAUUAUUAAUUUAGAAGAGUCAAAAAGCUAAGUCUAUCCUUGGUAAAACUCAAACAUGUGUAAUAUCACAUAUAAGUAGUUAGUGAGUUUUGUAAACUUUCUUAAUUAAGAAGACACGUUUUCGUUUGUAAAUUCUAACACAAUAUCUAUUCAGUUUUUCAACUUGGAAUAUUACAAUUAUAUCAAUAUUGUUUGAUGUGGGCACACAACCCUGCGUCUUCUUAAUUAGGACAGCCAGUGAAAUCUACUUGUUAGCGAUGCAGGAGAUGAUACAUAACUUGUAUGUGCACGUUGGCGGAAUAUCCCAAUUAUGCACUCGUUUGUCUUCCUGUGUUUUAAAAAAUCUGUUGUAAUGGAUAUAUUGUAAAUUUAUCUAAUUGCUUGUUAUAAUGCUUCUAUUGUGGUGUUAUUCGAGCUGUCAUUUUCAGUUUUAUUUUAUUUUUUCUUUAAACAUAGUUAGUUUGAAAUGUUCUUGAUAUCCAUUACACUUGAGAUCAUCAAACAAGUGAUUCUCGAACAUAAUUGCUGUUGUUACUCGAAUAAGAAAAGAAAAUAACGUAUAGCUACGAUAAAGCAAAUGGAAAUGAGAGCAACAUGAUUUUGCAAAGUUAACUUCACACUAUCAUAAAACCGAAAACAAUAGCUUAAAUAACAACACACCAAAGCCAAAUAACGACCCAAUAGAAUCAUGGUCCAAAGAUUGUGCCAUGAUCACAACUUGAACUACAAAAAAAUAACCAACACCAAAAAAAAUAGGAACAGUUUGAAACUUUCAACUAAGCAACAUUUAUGAUUCCACAUCAGCAGUCCUACACACAUCUUCUAACAAUUGCAACUGUUCAUUUUUGCUUCUGCCAAUAAAGAGUUGAUAGUAACCAAAGAUUCUUGUCUUUAUUGUCAUUUGAGAGUAACCAAUUACUUACGCAGUCACCUAAGUUGCUGGUUGGCCUCGCACAUUUUUGACAAGUUUGUUUCUGAAGGAAAGCAGCUGAGCCGCAACCUCUUCCAUGCUCAUUCGUUCUCUCGGCGACUCUGAAGAGCAAAUGGCUCCGAUUCCCAGUACGGAAACCAAGCACUCUUUAACACUAAAACUUCUGGUCCAUUGUUUGUGAGCAUUGGCCUCGCUUGUCUCCCCUUCUUCUCUUCCUACAAGAAGCACUGGAUCAACAAUUUCAGCGAGUCUUUCAGGAAGAGCUUCCUUGACAAAAUUAUGUAGGGUUAGAUUGCCUGUAAACAUUUCAUUCGUCGGCCUCUUUCCUGUAAACAUUUCCAGCAAGAGUAUUCCAAAACUGUACACAUCUCCACUUGUUGAGACUUCGCUCCCCAUUCCGUACUCUGCAAUUCGAAAACUGAAAUUGUUGGUUCAACUAGUAAAAUCUCAAAGGAUUGAAAGACAAGUUAAUUAAAUAAUAGUAUUUACCUGGAGCAGCAUAACCAACGGUUCCUUUUACUCCAACAGAGCUUGAUUGAUUAGAUGACAAGUUAUUGGUGGCUUCCGGAAGGAAUUUUACUAAUCCAAAAUCACCUACAUGGGCAGUCAAUUCACCAUCCAGAAGAACAUUGCUUGGCUUGAGAUCACAAUGGAUUAUUGGAGUCUCGCAAUAAUGAUGGAGAUAAUCCAAUGCGGAAGCAACAUCAACGGCAAUACUCAGUCUUUGCAGGAGAUUUAGAUUCCUUGGUGCCUCACGGUUUGGAUGCAACCAUUCCUCCAGGCUCCCGUUCACCAUGAACUCAUAAACUAAAGCCUCGAAAUCAUUUCCUUGGGAGUCAACACUUGCACAGGAAGUUAUUAUUUUGACGAGAUUCCGAUGCCUAAUACUUCUAAAGGCUUGACACUCCGCCAUGAAACUCUUUGAAGCUCCUCGAUGUUGAAGAUUAAGCACCUUAACUGCCACCAGCGUUUCAUGAUCAUCAUGAUUGAGGACUCCUUUAUAGACCGAACCAAAGCUACCGGCAGCAAUCAAGUUUUCCAAAGAAAACCCAUCGGUCGCUUUGAACAGAUUCUCAUAGGACACUCGCAAAACCGAAGCCAAGGAUGCUGAUGGAGGAGUGGCCGGCUCCUUUUUUGAUUUGCUCCGCCAGGAAGUAAUUAUAAAACACGACAUCCCUGUCACUAACAAAAUUCCUGUAACUAUAGGAAUAAUCAGUUUCAGGGAACGGGAACGUGAUUGCUUUGAUUCUUUGAUGGAGCAAGUAGAUAAAUGCAACUCAGAUAUGCCACCACAGAGGUUAUCAUUUCCGUCAAGAGAUAUAGCACUCGAAUUGCUGAAGACUCCUUUUAUUGGUACUUCGCCCUCAAAAUGAUUAAAAGACAGAUUUAAAUUCUGUAAAAAGGGAAAGUUUUCCAGAUAUUUUGGAAUUCGGCCAGACAAAUUGUUCCGCGAAAGAUCAAGAUUCUCAAUGCCUCUCAAAGAACUCAAUGAUGAAGGUAUAUUCCCUCGAAAGAAAUUACCGUUCAUGACGAGUUGUUCCAACCUAAUGCAACUUCCUAUACUGCUUGGAAUUUCACCAGACAAUUUGUUCUCCGAUAUAUCUAUAGCACCCAGAUUUUUCAAGAUACCAAAAUUUGAGGGCAAAGGACCGUUCAAUUGGUUUUGAGAUAGAUCGAGAUAGAUUGACAAGGAAGAGAGACCAAUCACUUCAGAAGGUAUGGUACCACUGAGGUUGUUAUUAUAGAGAUCUAAUACUAUCAAGUUUUGGCAUUUCCCUAGACUUGAUGGAAUGCUUCCCUCUAACAUGUUUUCGGCAAAAUUUAGUGUCAUUAACAAUGUCAAAUUUCCUAUAGAAGAUGGAAUUUCCCCCAAAAACUUGUUCCCGUUCAGCCCCAACAUCUGCAGCUUUUGAAGAUCUCCUAUACUUCCUGGAAUUCGGCCUGUGAAUUGGUUGCCACUAAGGUCUAAAAGCUCUAAGUUAACAAGAUUUCUUAAUCCACUUGGGAUAUUUCCGAACAAUUGAUUGUUUCCAACUGAUAAUUUUCUAAGUCGGGUUGACAAGUUCCCCACAGCUUCAGGUAACAUUCCGCCACAAUUGGUGUCACUAAUUUCCAGUAGCUCUAGUCUAGACGUGUUAACCAAAGAAUUGACAAAUUCCAAGUCAUCUUUUUCCCCAUUUCCUAAGGGAUUCUGAGAAAUACUAACCUCUCGGAGUUUAUGUGAAUUUUCGAAACUAGGCACCUUUCCACUGAAUCCAUUCCCUCCGAUUGCAAGUGUCAUUAGAUUUGAGGUAUUGGAUAUGGAAGCAGGAAUAGGCCCAGCAAACUGAUUAUCAACAACGUUUAAUAGUUCAAGAUUAGGAAGAGUGAAGCCUAAGUCUGAUGGAAAGCUUCCUUGAAGUUGGUUAACAGGAAAAUCAAAAACACUAAGCGAAGACAAGUUGUAGAUAGAGAAAGGGAUUUCACCUGAUAGCUUAUUUAUUCCAAAUGCUAUAAUACGCAUCCUCUUAAUAUCCCUCAGGGUUUCAGGAAUUCGUCCCACAAAUUGAUUUGCAGUUGCUGAGAGGACCUCGAGUGAUGACAAAUUGCCAAAGGAAGAUGGGAUUUCUCCUGACAAGUAGUUGGCGUGUACUGUGAGAAUCCGGAGCUUUGGUAUGGAGCCCAGUUUCCCUGGAACUUUCCCCAUAACCUCAUUGAAGCCUAACCUGAGGGAUUCAAGGUUAACACAAUGCGAUAUGUUGUCAGGAAUUUGACCUCCGAAUGUAUUGUUGUCCAGCCAUAAAAUUCGCAACCUGAACAGAUAUCCAAUCUCUUGAGGGAUUUCGUUGCGGAAGCUGUUGUUUUUGAGAUCUAACACUCUGAGAAAACUUAAAUUACCAAUGUGAGGCGACAGAGACCCCUGCAAGAGUAAAGAUGGAAGAAGUAAUGCAGUCACCCUUUGGUGCCGUGGACUGCAAGUGACACCUUUCCAUUGACAAAAGUGCCUGGAAUAGUUCCAUGAACUCAAAACCUCAAGAGGGUCAUGAGUAAUUUUGGCCUUGAAUUGAAGCAAUGCAAGUUGAUCGGUUUCAUUGCUUUUGAGCACAGAUUCGGUUGAUUGCAAGCUGAAGCUGAAGCAACAGAAAAUAAAGAAACAAAUGCUUGCAAUGAUUGAACUCGUCAUGUUUACAAAAUCCAUUUAACUGCCGAAAGGAAAUUAAAAUGAUAAAACUUUUAUAGAGGUUGGUAAGAUCAACUAUGUUUGUAUAUUUUUUGCAAUGAUUUAUGGACUCUGUCCCUGAUGCUCAAAUGUGAACCGGCUGACCCCGCGACAGUGAAACUAAUACUUUUGUUUUUCUAAUAAUAUUAAUUAUCAUAUUUACUACUAUUGUAAGAAUAAUUUAAAAUAGCUUUAAAGAAAGACCCACCAGACUUCCUUUGAGUCUCUAUCAAUUUCCAGCAUUUUGUCGUUUUUUUUUUUUUUUAUUUUAGUGCUUAAUCCACAGUAAAUAUAGAACAAUUUAAUCAACAAUAUUGAAAAAGAAAAAAAGUAGGAUAAGAGAAAGGUAAAUACGAUGGAUGGAGUGUUAAAUGAGUUGGGAAACGUUCAAAGCACGACGGGAGACCCGGCACACUCACUUUCGACGCUCUAUCAGUUAAUCCACAAUGAACAUAAAACAAUUUAAUCAACAGUAUUGUUGAUACCUAAAAUCUGAUCUAGUUUAUUAGCGACUUAAUAUCAGACUUCUACACCAGCAUUAGAUUUAUUUGGUAGAGAAUCGAUUGGUCAAUCGUCUAGAUGUCCUGCAACCACCGGCGAUUAACCUACGAAUACCUGAAAUCAUAGAAGACGGUCAGAGGCGCCGGAAGUUUUUCUGGCGUGAAGCCUCCGACGCUCAAGUCAGUUUCUAGGCCUUUCGGAAAAAUUUAUGCCACCACUCAUGUGGCUUAAUAAGCAUUGCCUUAAAACCCAAAGCUUUUCGAGUAACUUACAGAAAGUAAAGUAUAGUGUAAAAGCAAGAAUUUUCCAUGAGAGGAAGAGAGCCCAAAAAAAACCCCCUGGAGAAGAGAGAAAAAAUAAAUAAAUAAUCCCCCCUAGGUAACUCCCCACUCCUCUCUUUCCCCCCUUGUUCUCUCCCACUUUCGGAAGUUAAGGAUGAGAUAAAAGUAAUGCCCCCACUCUCCCUUUUUUUUCUCCUUUUAUCCGUUACCAAACAAGUAUUAGAAGAGAAAAAAAGUAGGAUAAGAAAGUUAAGUAUGUUGGAUGGAGUUUCACAUUACUGUUAAAUGACUUGGGAAAGGUUUAAAGCACCACAGGAAUCAACGUUUCACAACGCUUUUUAGCUUUUUUUCUAAAAGGAAAAAGAUAUUCUCACAAAAGUAAGUACAAAAUUUCACACAAAACGGUGCAUUUAAAUAAAGUAAAAUUGCAAAAAUACUCAAAAUAUAUAAGAUUGAUUAUUUACACCCUCUUUGUUUGGGUGAACUAUUUCUGGAAAAUGGGCAGAGCCUAGUUUGGUUCAAAUUUUGAAAUAACAAAAGGUAUAUUGGUGGAAAACCAGCGACAUAUUUUCUAAUGGUUAACCUAAAUGGGAAUUAUAUCGGUUUGUACUGUCAAUAUAAUAAACAACUAACUAAAUUAUUUAGAAGUCAUGAAUAAAAAUGUAUAGAACAAGAAGUAUAUUGCUAUUCGAUACAAGAUAUAAUCUAAUGUUGGAUUAUUAAACCAUAAUAAAAUAAUAUAACUACACAUGUGCAGUAUUAUUCACUAGAAAGAUUUAAUUUAGAUAUUAAACAGUUAGUGCAACUAUAUCUAUCUCAUGCUCAUUAAUUUAGAGUUUGAGAACUCAUAAUAAAAGAAAAUAGAAAUUUAAACAUAGAUCCUAUUCUAUUAAGUAGAAUCAGAAAAGAAGUUUACAAAAAUAAUUUUGCACGGAAGCAAUGAAAUAUUAAUCCGGUUGAUGGAUAUAUUGGUGAACACAUAAUAGAAUAUUAUAAUAGAUUUUUAUCUAUCAAGCAAAGGGAAGAAUAUAAUUGCAAUAAUAAAAGAAUUAGAAGUAAAUAGUAAUAUGCUAAUAGGAUAUAAAGGAUUAAUAUUAAUUAUCAUAUUUGGCUGAAUGAUUCAGUGGUAGUGAGUAAUACCCACUUUCAAUACUCGGGUCUUCCAGGUAGUGAUCUUCAACAAGUAAUCAUUUUCAAGAAGUUUCAAUCGUCGGUGUCGUUUGAAUUGGUCAUCUAAAGCUGCCCUCUUGAUAUUUUUCUUGGUCUUUGUUUCAGACUUUUAGUUUUUCUAUGCAUAAAAUCAUUAUUAAGUUCAUUUUCUUAUCACAAAAUUCUGAAUCUUUUGCGUUCUAAUUACUACUAUUAGUUGUCAUAUUAUUAUUAUUAACAAUAAUUAUUUUAAAUAAAAAUUGUAAUUAUUGUAAUAAAUGAUGAUAAUAAUCAACUAAGGCUAUUUUGGUAUUGUAAUAAUCUAUUCCAAUUCCAAUAAAAAUUAGAUACAUCAGUGACAAUACAAAUUCUUACAGCUAAAAUAAAUAAUUUAUAAUGAUUCUCAUUCUUUAUUUCAAUUCCAUUCUGAUUUCUGAAACUAAGGUGGCGUUUGUUUUUUUGUCUGAAUCUCGGAAAAUAAGUAUUAAGUUGUUUGUUUUUUUCAAUUGAAAAAGUUAAAAAUAUAUACUUUUACAUUUGUAUCCUUAUUAAAUUUGAAUGUCAAAUAAAUAAUAUAUUAAAUACCACAAUAUUUUAACAUUUAUAAGUAAAACUAUAUUCAAGUGAAUACAUAAUUAUUUUGGAAUUUUAAUAUAUAAAAUACAAUAAAUUUCAAAUUUUAUCAUAUAUAAUAUAAGAAAGAAAAAACAUUGAUAUUUUUAUGUGGGGUAAAUGUCUAUGGGUGAGUUUUGGGAUAGACAUGAAAAAUAAAUUAUAAAACAUGGAUAUUUUUUACAUUAGUAAGUAAUUGAUUUAAUUCAAAUUUCUCCAUUAAGUAAAAAGUCAAAAAAAUUGGCUUAUUUUAUUAAGUCAAAAUUAUCUAAAAAAUCUCAUUAAGUUAUAAAAACAAAUACCUCUAAUUAACUUAAUUAAUUAAGUUAAGUCACUUUAAAUUAUUAAGUUAAAAAACAAACGCCACCAAAUCCUUUCGAUUACUUAUUAGUAAGCAUACCACUAAAGGAAAUGAAACUGUCCAUACACAAUAAAAUCUCUUUAAUUGAUCAUCUAGCCCAGCUAAAAUCAAUGGUCCCGAAAGAAACAAUUUCGGAACUACUCAAGCCUGCAAAUCUAGCACUGUCGUAGUACGUUACAGGAAUUUGAUUGGACGAUGUAAUAAAGAUGAAGGAUAAGAUCGCCAAUCAAUUUUCUGACCGCAUCAAGCAAAUAGGCCAUCUGUGAGGCGCAAAAUGAGUUAAAAAGAUGGAUCAUUUUGGAAUCCAUUAAUGCUGAAUCAUUCAGCAAAGCUUUCAAUUAACGUGCCCUUCGCUUCGGGUCCAAAAUUAGAAAAAAAUUUCGCUUCAAUUAUUAGCUUAUUUGGUUAAAAAAAAAUGAUGAAAAUGACGUUAAAUUCGAUCAGAUUUACAUAUUUAAUUUGCCCUUCGGAUCUCCUAUGUUUGUGUUGAUAGGCGGUUUUUACCUAAACUAAACCAUUAUUGGUGGCAUGUUGAUCCUAAAAUUAAGGAUUGAAUGGCUCCAUUACCUUCAUAAAAAGGAGAAAAUGACCAACUAUUGGGGAGGGGGUAAUAUAAGGUAAAAACAGAGAAUGGGAGGUUUUGUUGGGGGGGGGGGGGGGGGGGGGGGGGGGGGGGGGGGAGGAGAGGAGGAUUAUGAACCUUUUUCAACAUGACGACACAUAGGCCGCUGCUACCCUUUACUUCUUAAUUUCUUUCUCAUCCAAUCAAGAUUGCGAACUGCGAACCCGACUCAACAUUGCACGUUGAAAUUGCAUACUAUAUAUAUAUAUAUUUUAAUGGUUACAAUAGAUAGAAUUAUUCUACUACAACCCAAAAAUCUACCACGGUUAGUUUUAAAAUCCAUUCUCACUUAUAUUUAAGGUUUAAAUUUUCAAAUUGUCUUAAACACAAUUGUCCAUUUUAUAUAAACUCCGCAUCGCCUGCAUAACGCUGGGUGCGUAUUAGAAAAUUUCACAACUCCCUGCAGAAUAGCGAGCUGGAAAGUUGUCGACAGAAUGAGCAACUUCUUUAACUCCUUUGGUGCAACUACUAAGAAUACAUGUAUAAUAAUUUUUUUAAAUUAAAAAAAAAUGUAGAAACUGAAUUACAUUCCAAAGCUAAACACAGACGACAUCUCACUAAUUCAAACGAGAAAAUGCCAACUAAGUAGUACAAAAUCUCUGUCAUUUAUCGAAUAGAUAGAAAAAGGAAGAGGAAGCCGGAAGCAGCAGAAAAGUUUAAGUCCGGCAUGGUGUCAGCUCAGUCCAGGCUUACCCUGUCCAAAUUAUUAAUAAUAAUUCGAAUAGUUCUUUUUGUUAUUAAUAAUAAUUACUAAUAAUAAUAAUUAUUAUUAAUAUUAAUAAUUCGAAUAGUUUUCUUUACGAAUAGUUCUUUUUGUUUUCUCCAAGAGAAAUUUUUGCGAAAAUGAUGACUUUGACUUCCGUGGGUUGUGACUUCGUGCUUGACUUGAAGUCGGUCAAGCAAUAUUUGAUGAAAUGGGAUUAACACAAUUAAUAAUGAUGAAGACUUAGUGAUUUCUUGUACCGCCCGUGUGGACAUUUCUCCGUUGAUGACUGUUAAAGAAGGAUAUUUCUCCGUUAAUUAUUCCGUAGGAGCAAUGCGCUUUGCAAAAUUGAUGGGGACACAUGGUGUCAAAUGUCAUUCAUUAAUCAGAUAGAAGCUUCACAUUAAUUUUGUAAUCUGGUAUUUCAAAAGCACCAAAUAUUUUCUUUGCCCUACCCUCACGCAUGGUUUCUUUGUAUCAAAUUAAUGUCAUUUUGACCGAAAUUUGACGGAAAAUUUUAGAAAACAUAAGCAGUUGUGGAACACAUGGGGAAUGGUUUUAACCAGUCAAUUAAAAUAUAACGUGUAGAACUUAGUUUACUAGAUAAAUCCCUUCAAGAAUUUCACGAAAGUCAAAUUCAUCAUUUCCGCAAAAUUUCUCUUGGAGCAAACAAAAAGAACUCAAUGAUAGAAGGAAUUUUCCCUUUGAAGAAAAUGAUGAGUUGUUUCAAUGUAAUGCAACUGCCUACACUGCAUGGAAUUUCACCAGACAAUGACAAUUUAUUCUCAGAUAUAUCUAACGCCCCCACAUUUGUUUAGUCACCCAAAUUUGAAGUCGUCUGUUUUGAGACUGAUCAAAACUUUUUCCAAAAAUUCGGGAUUCAGGUCGUAUCAGGCCGGUUAUGUUUUGAAAACUUGUAAAUUUUCAGUGAUCAAACUUCAAAACUUUGCAAAUAGGUCAAAAUAUGAAAAAUACUUGAUAUGUUAUUGAAUAGUCAUUUUGUUUUGCAUUAAUAUAAGGCUAUGGGUGCUAUCUAGUUUUGUUGGUAAAAUUUCAUGGAUUGAAAACAAGAAAACUAGCAUUUGAAAGAAAUUUAGUUACCAUUUGAUUAAAACAUAAUAAUAAAAAUUAGAAAAAAUUAUAAGGCUUCGACAAGAUUUGCUAAUCAUGUAUAGAAUAAUAUGAAGAUUAAGAACAUCACCUUAGCUAAUUAUUGAACUUGAAAUUUUAGGAGAAAAAUUUAUAUGGGUUUGGCCACCAAUUUAGCAUUAGGAACUCAUUGUUUAGGAAGCUAUAGUGGGUUUCGCAGUGGGACUUAUCCUCUUUAAUGCAUAUGGUGAUUUUUAACCAACAUAUAUAUAAUCCCAUUAUAAAACUCAUCAAACCUUCUAAAAUAACAUGCUCAGAUAGUGUGCUAGUUCCAUAUAAAUAUUUCUCCAACUUCUUAGCCUGAAGUGAUAUUCAUUUCCAUUGAUAGUUUAAUGGGCAAAGCCUUUUGAAUUCUCCAUGUUAUCAAGUUAAUUUUUGUUGGAAAAUGCAAUGCGGAUAUGAAUAGAAUUUUUUGUGCAAACAAAUUUUCUGUGUUGACACAUCCUCUCAGUAAGUUUUAUGGAGAAGCUUUAAUUUCCUAGUUGUUGAUUUCGAAUACAUUAAGCUCUUAUUUGGUAUUAAAGUAUUGUAAACUAAAAACUAUGGUUCGUAUGAAAAGAAAAUUGUAAUUACGAAAUAAAAGUUGAUAGAGUGUGAAAAAUAUAAUUUCAUAAUAAAAAUAAACUUAACUUUAAAAUUACAAUAGUAAAUAUAAAGUAUUUACUAAAUACUUUAGUAUUGCAGUAACUGCCCUACCACAAUAACAAAAAGGAAGCUAAUACUAUAAGUUGUUACAUUAAAAGUCUCCCAAAAAGAAAGAAGUGACUUAAAAAAUUAAAAGAACGCAGGAGCUGAAGUUGGCAAUUUUGUAAAUUGCAAUGGUGAUUGUGACCUAGUAAAAUCCUUCAAUGAAUCACAACACUAGCAAUUUCGUAAUAUACAGUAGUGGCAAUUUUGUAAAAUUGAAGUAGUGAUAGUUUUGUAAAUAAAAGGAAAAACUUUUUCCCAAAAUUUGGCUGAGGUAAAAGCCAGCUUAGCCCACACUCUCCUUCGCCACUUGUUGAUGAGCUCUUCCUUCAAUUUUUGAACUUGAAGUGAUGCCCCAUCGAUGUCCAGAAUUUUUAAAGGCUCCCCAUUGUACAAGUUAAACAAUAAAGUCAGAAUGAUGACGGAGUUACAAACAAUCAAAUAUGAUCCUAAUGAUUCUUCUUAUACAGUCACCCGCGUGUUGACGUGUUUAAUUGAUGUUUAUUUAAGCAGAAAUUGAAGUUUGAUCCUGAUUAAUUAGAUGAGAACACACAUUCAUGAGUAAAUACUUAAAAUUAAAUUAAUCAAAAAUAGUAUAAAUACAGGAGAAAAUCGAUCAUAUGCGUGCAGACACCACAAUCGAAUUAUAUAUAUCACCGCCGCACAUAAAUCUUAUUCCAAUGAUAUAUGAUUAAUUAAUUAAUUAAUUUUUUUUAAUAACAAUUAAAUUGUAAUGUCAAUUGUCCACAUAAGAUUUUUUUUUUUUUGUUGAUGAAAGUUAGUAAUUUUUUUUAUCUAGUAAUUUUUUUUUCCAUCUUUUUAAAUAAUAGUUGUUAAUACAAAUCAAAAAGAUAUUAGGACUUGAGAUCAGGGUCUACUUGAGUUAGAAUUUUUUAUUAGAAAAGCUAUUAGCCAGUGAUGCAAAAUAAAGAAGCAACACAAGAUAAAGAGUAAAAUGAGAGAGCAUAUAUUAUAGAAAGAUUUUACUCAUUCCAAGUGUGUACCAAAUAAAUAGAUGAACUCUCAUUUUAUAGUUAUAUAAUUAUUACAUGAAAUUAAUGAAAACAUUAUGGAUUAAUUCCUUGCGAUAUAGUGGGGGGUUAUAGAAAAGUCAAGAGUUGCUAGUGGAAGAUAAUGGGGAGAGUAAAAGAUAUAUGUUAUGAACAUUCACAUUUAUUUUAAUAAAUUCAUAGCAUUUUUUUUCCUUAAAUAAUAGGGUGUAGAGAACAAUUGGAAGGAGUUUACGGUGAUGUUUGUUUUUUAACUUAAUGACUUAAAGUGACUUAACUUAAUUAAUUAAGUUAAUUAGAGGUGUUUAUUUUUAUAACUUAAUGAGACUUUUUAAAUAAUUUUGACUUAAUAAAAUAAGCCAAUUUUUAUGGCUUUUUACUUAAUGGAGAAAUUUGAAUUAAGUCAAUUACUUACUAAUAUAAAAAAUAUUCAUGUUUUAUAAUUUAUCUUUCAUGUCUAUCCCAAAACUCACCCAUAGACAUUUACCCCACAUAAAAAUAUCCAUGUUUUUUCUUUCUUAUUUAUAUACGAUAAAAUUUGAAAUUUAUGGUAUUUUAUAUAUUAAAAUUCUAAAAUAAUUAUGUAUUCACUUGAAUAUAGUUUUACUUAUAAAUGUUAAAAUAUUUUGGUAUUUAAUAUAUUAUUUAUUUGGCAUUCAAAUUUAAUAAGGAUACAAAUGUAAAAGUACAUAUUUUCAGCUUUUUCAGUUGAAAAAAACAAACAACUUAAUACUUAUUUUCUGAGAUUUAGACGAAAAAAUAAACAUCUUAUUCAGCUUCAGACAUUCAGAUCUAUUCAGAGCUUCAGACAUUCAGGUCUAUUCAGAUUUCAAACAAAAAAACAAACGUGUAUGUAUAUAUAUAUUGACCUAAAAAUUGCAUGACGUGUGGUUUAGCGUUUCUUGGUUGUUCAGUGCUAGUUUUCAAAACUUUUCGUUAGAUUACCACUUCUUGGUUGUUAAUUGCUAGUUUUCGUUUCUUUGGUUGUUCAGUGCUAGUUUUCAAAACAUCCGGAUGGUUGUUCAGUGCUAGUUUUUUCAAUCAAUGACUCCGAAAGGCUGUUUUAACCAACUAAUAAACAAAAGCUAAAACCCAAAACCCCUCUCUUUUUCGUUUUCCAGGGACUUCACCUUGAUGGCCGAAAAGCAACUGGAAAUCCUCCGCGGGUACGAGCUGCGGCUCUUGCGCUGCACCCUCGCUCCCCACCGUCCGAUCUUCCCAUUCAAUCGCAACCGUUGAACGAAGAAAGCCAAUGCUCUCUCCUUCCACUCCACGAGCACAUCAACAGCCUCAUCGACUCCAUCGAGUCCGGCCACUAUCUCCAGGCUCUGUCCUCCGACGCGGCUAAACUCGUCCUCGACACGCUCGACUUCGUCGACCUCAACGACUCAGCCGAGUGUGCCGACCGCGUCUACUCCGCACUGCUCCAGCGUGUCGAAGCGUUUAUUGUGAACGAUUCCGAAAAUGACGUGGAUAAGGCUUGUCGAGUUAUUCUGCUCAUGUGUCUUUCAAUUGCUGCUCUUUUUUGGUUCACUCAGUGUAACGUGACUGGGUGAGUUGCUUGUUUAUAAAUAUUUAAAUAAUUGCAAUUAAUAUAAUAAAUAUUAGUAAAAAAUUAAAAAAAAAGGUUUAGUGAUGAACGUUUGAACAUGAAUUAAUAGGCCUUUAGUUGAUAAUUCGCCAAAGUGUCGGUUUCCACUGGAAGUUUCAACUUUAGAAGGCAACGAAUUGAUAGAGUGGGAGAAUUGGGCGCAUUAUCAGCUCAUGUCUGUUGGCUCUGACUUGCUGGGAAAGUUCUCCUAUCUUCAGGUACUCAGUCUAUCGAAAAAUGAAUAGAUUCUAUUGCUUAGACAGUGUUAAUGUUAAUAUUAUCUUUUUUAACUUAUUUUACAUUUUGUGAUCUUUUUGUAGUAUAUAGUUUUUGCCAAAAUGUUGAUCAUGAAGACAAAAGAUUUGCUGUUUGAUGCAACUGUGUUGCCUGUGAAUGGGAUUAGAACCAUUUCGUGGUGGCUCACAAGACUCCUACUUAUGCAUCAAAGGAUUUUAGACGAGCGGCCGUCUUCUUUGUAUGAUCUAUUGAAAGUUUUUAUGGCUGAGACUUUACAACAUUUUGGCACUUUGGUAAAUGUUAGUACUUAUUGGGGCAACCAGUUGCAUGAUAUCGAUCCUUCAGAGAUUGUUUCAACAUUUCAUUUAGAAGCAGGACUGUUAGAACACAUUUACAGGAGAGUUGAUUCUUGCAGGUGAGUUAUCCUGGGAAAGUUUUAUAUUUGAUGGUCUUAUUUCUGGCUACAUUAGAAAAGUUUUCUCUUGGAAACAUGUUAUUUCCAACAUGGAACUUGCCUGUAGAACUCUCUCAGUCAUUGUAAUUGAUUUUGUGCAUUGUGUGUAAGGGAGAUGCAAGAACAAAGUUUUAUGUUUGGACUUCAUCAAAAUCUCCCAUUUUUUAAUGUUUAUUGUUUCAAUCAUCGAACAUUAGUUUGAGUUGUUAGCAGUGGAAUUUGCAUUAACUGAUUACUAACUUCCAUCAUUACCAUUAUUAUAGGACUUCUUCUAUAGUUUCUGCUGCUUUCUAAAAUGCUUUACUGUAUCAGGAAACAUUUUGAAUCAGCUGAAGUGGCAGCCGGUCUCCAGCUUUCGGUUACUGGGGUUCUUGGUUUCCGUACUGUCCGUCAGGUAAAGAUUGAAUGUGCAUCAUUUAUAAAGUUGUCGGGAUCUUCCUUCUUAGGUUUGAGAUUGCUCUUGCAUAUAGGUAGAACCAAAAGGCACAAAUGGUACUUGUUGCAAACACAAGCUCAACCAACACUUCUGAUGUCUGCCCUUCAAUAAACCAAGUUAUUCAUACACAUGAUUCUACUAUUGGUGAUGCCUCUGAUGUUUUUGUGACCCCAAAAUUAUUGGGGAAUAGUCAUGAAUCUGAAUCUGGAGUCCAAUGCAUUCAUGCUGGUGGCUCAGCGGCCCAUUUAAAGGCAAUCCAACAGGCAGUGAUCUUGUCGAGGUGCCUUCUAAUAGAAAAGAGCUCAUGGCAAGAUGAAAUGCAAAGGAAGUUGUUUUAUGGUUGGCCGGUGUGUAGUCAUCUCGUUAAAGGCCAUCAGAUGUUUGGCAUAUUGCUAUUUAAUUUUUAAAUCAUUCUCAGUAAUAAUUCCUUUAGUAGAUUGAUGAUAAGAGAUUGCAUUACAGAUGAUAACUGAGCACAAUUUUUGUAGUUGUAUCCCUGUACAUCCAUCUUAAUAUCCUCAUUAUAUUCACAUGCCUUUUACGGGUGUUAUUUCUGGAUGCCGAAUGCUUUGCUCCACGUCUGGAUACCAAAUGCCUUGUUCCACAAAGCUGAGCUGGUUAAAAAGCUAGCUGAUGAGGUCAACACGUCCCUUAAGUAAUUUGAGGAUGAACACUGUGUUCCUGAAAGUCUUACUCUAAUGAUACUUAAAGAAGCAAUGAGAAUGGAUGUUGCAGCAGCUUUGCUGAACUCAACCCCAGUUCCAAAAAUGGAACAUGUGAAAACCGAAAAUGCAUUGUUUUUUUUUUCCUCUUUAUGACUUCUCUAGUUGGGGAAUGUAUUAGAUAUUCACCUAAUCAGUAGGCCUUGAAGGGAUCCCAUGUUAGCCCCUUGAUGUUGGUCUGUAAUUAAGUAAAUACUUGACCUUGAAAAAGCUUUUGGAGGCAUCAGUUUCUCUCUGACUGUGUGCUACUUUUUGGAUCUGUUGAUUUGGUCAUUUGCUGAUUUGUAGUUUGUUUUCUGAUUCAGGAUGGGAUAUGGCUCCAUACAUAGAGGCAAUUGAUUCACAGCAGUCGUCAUGCUUCAUUGUAAGUAUAUAUACAAUACAGCAUCAGUUUUUCUUGAUUUUAAAUCUCAUAUUCUGAAGUGGUACUUCUGAUUCUCACAUGAUUUUUCCACCUUUCAGCUAAAGUUUUUCUGUGAUCUCUUACGUAUUAGAUGGGAGUCCACCCGUAGUCGCGCAAAAGGGCGUGCUUUAGAGAUGAUGGACAAACUGGUAUGAUCUGUGAGCCUUUUCUUCUUAAAUAUUUUGUUACCUAAAUCAUUUUAAUUCAAAUUGACAAGAGUUGCUUGUCGAUCUAUAGAAGAUUCCAAACUUUCUGCAGCUAGUACUUUAUUGGACCCAAAAGCUUUUUUGCUUUUUCUAAGCUGCUAAUCAAGACUAGGUUUCUCUCCCUUAUAUCGCUAGAUAUCCCAUUCAUCGUUAGAUUUAAUUGUCUAGAGAGAUUAGGUACUUGCAUCUUUGCUUUUCACUUCACAAGUGAUUUCAUGUGCUAUCCUGUAUUCUGGUUCAAGAUUUUUGAUGGUUGCUUACCAUCAUAUUUUGCUUUGUUUUAGGUUGAGGGCAUUUCUAAUUCUUCUUCCGGUGUGACUCAAAGUAUUCCCUUUUGUUAUGUGAUUUAUGUUCCAACUAUUCCUGCCCUGCGAAAGUAAAACUAUUUCUCCUGCAUCUUUGAAUGAUUGUGAUUUAAUUUUCUUGUCAUUUUGCCAACUAUCAUUAUGCUGUCAUUGUUUCAUAUCUUAUUUGACAUAUGUUGAUUUGGUUAGAGUUUAAUUGCUCUGUUUAUUCUCUUUAUAAUCUGUCUAUUUCGAUUUUUCUUGAUUUUAGGGAAUAUGCUAAACUUUUAGUAUGCUGUGGCUUGAUUGGGGAGGCCAUUAAAAUUUUUGAGGAUCUUGAGUUGUGGGAUAAUCUAAUAUACUGCAACUGGUAUGAUGUCAUAGAUAACCAUUAUCCUAAUCUCUCUGUCUAUCUCUCUCUUUCGUGUUGCUAAUGGGAGUUGGUUUUGUGUGUGAUGUAAAAAACAGCCUAUUGGGGAAGAAAGCAGCACCUGUUGAACUAAUAAAAGCAAGGCUGUCUGAAAAGCCUAAUGACCCUAGAUUAUGGUUUGUUGAUGAGCCUUUUCUAUGAUCCAUUUUAUAGUUACUUCUCAUUUCUGUUAAAUCCAUUGUUGAUGUCACUUAUUGUAAUCUAGGGAUAAUUGUUCAUUGGAUGCGAGGAUAUUGUCAGAAGAAAAUGAAACCUUUUAAUUUUAUCUUUUACUUGCUGUGGCCGAUUGAAAAGCUCACUGUGCGUUCUUACUGAUUGCUUUGGGUCUUGCAUUUGAGUCAAUGGAUUUUAUACUCGUAUUCUGACAUUUAUUGGUAGUCUUCUGACGGUUCUGCACCUUGGUCCUAUAUUAUCUUCAGCAGGAUUAUCUAAAAACUAAGUUUUUGCCGAAGAAUAUUUGCAUUCUAAACUAGAAAAGGAGGGGCGGGCGCCGGGGAGCGGGGUGGGGAAGGAAGCAUCAGGAGACUGUUUUCCACUUACCCUCUUCCCUGCCUGCAUUUUAGAUGAUUCUGAUGCACCAGGUGCCGUGAAAUGGUUGAGAAAUACAUACCAUCAAGUGAAUUCUGAAAAUCAUAUCCUUUUUGAGAAUAUUUGGUGCUAGACAUUUGAAUAUGUGGCCACAAUUUAAACAAUAAAGAUUUUCUGCACUGUUUCUUAUAAUGGAUAUAUGCAUGUAAUUAUAAUAUGAUAUCUUUUGAUUAUUGACCCAUUUGUUUAGAAAGAAGGGGAAAAAAAAAAAAAAACAUGGUUGAAAGACAACUGUUACUUGACCUUAUGUUGGUCUCUUCACUGCCGUUUGUUUCCUAUAACUUCUGGUGAUAAUGUAGCCAGAAUGAUGAGUUGAAUUGUGGUUUGCUGACUUGUGAUACAUUUUGUAGGUGUUCAUUAGGUGAUGUUACAAAUUAUGAUGCCUGCUAUGAAAAAGCUUUGGAAGUUUCGAAUGAUAAGUCAGCUUGAGCUAAGGUGAUAUUCAUUGCACAGAGAAAAUGUAGUUCACAUUAUGCUUGUACCAUGAUCAUUUUUUAGUUAACAUAUCUUUCUGUGAAUCGGAGGUCUCUAGCUCGUAGUGCAUACAAUAGAGGGGAGUACGAGACAUCUAAAAUCCUUUGGUAUGUUGCUUUAAUGCUUUACUUCUCUUUCUGUCCCACAGUAAUUUGUAGCAUUGACAACUGAUAUGGCUGAAUGACAAUUUACCCUUGGUUUUGUUUCAGGGAGGCUGCCAUGGCCGUGAAUUCUUUGUAUCUGGAUGGCUGGUUUGCUCUUGGUGCUGCUGCAUUGAAGGUAUCUUAUUUUUGUAUUAGUAUGUGUUUAGUUUGGAGAGAUUUCUUAUCCUUUUGCCCCAAGUUUCUGAAACUCUCGGCUGAAAUAUAAAUACAGGCUCGGGAUGUUGAAAAGGCUCUGGAUGGGUUUACUCGGGCUGUUCAACUUGAUCCAGACAAUGGGGAAGCUUGGAACAAUAUUGCUUGCUUGUAUGCUCUUUUCUUUGUCAUCAUGUCAUUCCAUCCUCUUGCUCUGUAUUCUUUAAUAUGGUGUCAAUCAAGUUCAUCUUCUAUCUGCAAGGGUAUGCUUCCCAUAUUUGGUUUACUUUGUUUUGACUUUCUUGUUGCAGUUGUUCUAUAUAAAUUUUAUAUGGUUCCAUAUUCCCUUGAUGAGUGAAUUUAGUUGCUGCAAAUGCUAAGAACUAGAUAGUACUGUUAUAAUUAGGAAUAGGGCAAAUAUUAGCCAUAGUAUCUGAAUUUCUAGACAAAAUUGGUCAUUUUUGUAUAUCAUUUGGACGUAUCUAUGCAGCAGUUUACUAUUUUAGUGCUUGCAGGAAUUGGUAUGCUAAAAUUUUGGGCUUAAAUUGUGUGAAAAUAAUCAAAGUGAUAUGCAAAUUAAAUCAAGCCACAUGAGGGAAGAACAUCCUUUUUUUUUUCUUUUUUUUUUUAAGCUUAUGUUUCAUGUUUCUCUGUAUGGCAUAGGUAGUUCGAAGUGAGAGUAGUGCAGAUAUGCGGGGAUUAUAUGCAAGGUGGCUUAAAAGUAAAGGAGAUCUUACAAUCUGCUCUGAAGCCCUCUUAAAGCAAGUCAGAUCAUAUCAGGUUUCUCCAUAAAUCCCAUCAUCUUAUAAUAAGUUAGCAUUAUGUUUUACUUUGAUGUUGAUGGAAUUUGUUAAUGCUAAUCAAAUUUUGUUAAUCUCUCUCUCUCUCUCUCUCUCUUUUUUUUUUUUUUUUUUUUUUAAAGAAGGCAAAGAAAAAGCAUUGUGAUUUCAUUUUUGUUUUCUAAAUUUAUCUAAUGGAAUGACAAGUUGACAACUCAGCCUCUCUCUCUCUCUCUCUGUGUCUGUGUCAGGGAUCUGAUUUGUGGAAAGAAAGAGAUCGGUUUGAAAGGUUUUCAUAUGCAUCCUUGGAACUUUGUAAGGUUUACAUGGAAAUUUCUUCCUCUUCUGGUAGCUGUCGAGAACUCUUUGCUGCUGAGAUGCACCUGAAGAACGUACUUAAACAAGUAAAAUACCUUAUAAUUCGAUAUUUAAGACACUUACAGUUGGUAUUACAUUGACAGCAGUAAAACAAAGAAGCAACUGAAAGUUAUCUUCAUAUGAGAAUGAAAGCUUUUCAGCAGCAUAAGCCUUUCACUAUUCAAUUCCAAACAUGUUCCUCAACAUGAUAACAAAUUCGUAGACCUUUUCUGGGUCUGGAAGGAUCCUGGCAACAGUAUCUCUUUGCAUGCACUUGUUCAUCCAUGCUGAGAAUUUGGGGCACUGAUUCUCAACCUUAAAUCCCCCAAAUUCCUCAACCGCGUAAAACCAUCAAGUCAGUGGAAUGGCAAUGACAUCAACGAAUCCAAAGCUGUCCCCGCCAAAGAAAUCCUUCUCCCCUAAAGCUCCCUCAAGUUGCUUCAAAAUCUCUAUAAAUUCAUUCUUCGCCGUCUCGGGGACCUCGCCCUUGCUUUUCCAUAUGUUUGCAGACUGCAUCGAAUACCUGCCAAAAAAGUGGUGUCAUCUUUUAAGUUCGCAUUUAGAAAGAUACAAACAUUUAGACUUGAGAUUUAUAGACUGACCUUCUUGUCAAUAAAAUCUGCCCAGAACCUUGCCUUAGCUCUCUCAGAAGCACAGGAUGGGAGAAGUGAUGGCGAAGGCCAAGUCUCGUCAAUUUAGUUGACUAUAAUAGUGGAUUAACACAAUGGUUCCCCAUCGUGCAGCAAAACUGGGACUUUCUUGUAGAUGGGGUUUGAUUUGAGCAACAGGUCACUCUUGCCCCGAACAAGUUCUCAGCUCUGGCUUCAUAUCCAACUCCUUUCUCAGCCAAUGCAAUCUUUGCUCUCAAGCAAAAUGGGCUAACCCAACAGUCCAAAAGAACAACCUCUCCCUUUGACAUAUUCACUUUCUUUGUUCUUGUUUCUUUUAGUUGGUUGAUAGAGAUUAAACCUCGAGUAUCAAGGUUGGUAUUUAUAUAGGAGAAAAGAUGAAAUUCCCAAAGAUUGUGUCGCAAUCAAGGUUUGUUCGUUGGCACUUCGAUAAAGGAUGUGGCCUUGUUCUUAUCAUUUCUUAGUUUUUGAAGCUAAAUGUUUUACUUGGCUUUCAACAUGCACAAGAACAAGUUUGUCUUGUGUAAAUAAAAUAAAACCAUAAAAUUCCAUUAUUAGUGUAAAACCAAAAUAAUUAAAAUAAUAAAAGUGAGGUUAGUCGUGCGUGUGGACCUCCUCUUUAUGAGCUUGUUAUCACACCAUAUUUAGUUUCUAUAAAUAAAAUAACUAAAACUCUCUUAUCUAAGUAAGAAUAUUGUUAUUUUGAAAUACCAACUCAAUCUCUAACAAAUCUUAAGAUAUAACUUAAGAUUCUUGAGCUUCCAAUAUAAAACAAGUAAGAUUAACAUAACUUUUUCACUUCCUUCCAUCAAAGAAAGGAAUAAGUUAUAUAAUUUAAUUUAUGUUUAAUUAAAUUAUUUUAAAUGGGUAAUAAUUAUAAAAUUUUCCACUUUAUUUAAUUAACUAGAUAAGACCAUAUUGUAAAUUCUUACAUUUAUCACUUUAAUCUCUUUCCUUUUUCAUUCCAAUUCCGGUACAAACUAUUCCUUUUCAAAAAGUUGUACUCAAAUUGAUAAGUCUUGGAAGACCAAAACACUAUUUAAAAUUUAUUAUUUGUUUUAGUAGCUUUCAUGGGUGCAAGGUAAGGAACAAAACUCGGUGGAUUUUAUGACAAAAGCUUUAUCUUAUGUAGCACUUUUUUCGAUAUCUCGAACUUUACUCUUUAAGUAUGUUGUAUAAUAUUUCUACAAUAACAACAAACAAAUUAUAACCCUGAAAGAUCUAUUUACACUUCGAUCUCUAGCCAGUUCUCUACAAAAUAUGGCACUAAGCAACAAUGUAAUCGGAGCCAUCAACUUUGUUGCCGUACUUCUUUCAAUCCCAGUCAUCGGUGCCGGAAUCUGGCUUGCCACCGAGGCAGACAAUUCUUGUGUCAAGCUUCUACAAUGGCCAGUCAUUAUUUUGGGAAUCUUGAUUCUAGUCGUGGCUCUAGCAGGCUUUAUUGGAGGAUUUUGGCGCAUCCCUUGGCUCCUUAUACUUUAUCUCGUUGCCAUGCUCAUUCUUAUAAUAUUGCUGGCUUGUCUAGUUGUUUUCAUUUACAUGGUCACGAUUAAGGGCUCAGGUCACCUUGCACCGAGUAGAGCGUACUUGGAAUACCGCCUCGACGAUUUUUCUGGAUGGCUACGUAGAAGAGUUCGAAGCCCUUACAAAUGGGAUCGGAUCAAAAGCUGUCUUAGCUCGACACAGAUGUGCCCUGAGUUGAACCAGAGUUAUAGGAUGGCUCAAGAUUUCUUCAAUGCACAUAUUACCCCUUUACAGGUAAUUAUAAUAAAUUAAGUUCUCGAUUACCAUUAAUUUUAUUUUAUUCUUUACCAUUAAUUUCUAGAAAUUAAGAUUUAUUAGAACUCUAAAGUUAAAUUCUGAUUAAAAUUUUAAUUUUUAACGUACAUAUUCCUCUUUAUAAUUAUGACUGUACGUAAUUUUAUAGCAGAGAGGAUAAUUCUUACCCAUUAAUUAAGCUAACCCACACGCCCAUGGAACAAUGAAGAAGUAGCUAAUAAAGUAAAAACAGUGUAUUAGAUUCGGAAAACCAAGUUUCAAAUCUUCUUUUCAAAAAUAUUCUUCGUCUUUAUCUUUAUUGCGUGCCUUUGUGCUUUAUUUAUUUAUUUAUUUUUCUUUCUUUACAGUCUGGAUGCUGUAAGCCUCCGACAGAGUGUGGUUACACAUUUGUAAACCCAACAUAUUGGAUAAGUCCAAUUAACAAUGCGGCGGACAUGGAUUGCCUGCAGUGGAGCAAUGACCAAAUGCAGCUUUGCUAUAAUUGUGAUUCAUGCAAAGCAGGAUUACUUGCUAAUCUGAAAAAGGAGUGGAGAAGAGUAGAUAUCAUAUUACUCGUUACUCUUGUUGCUUUGAUAUGGGUUUAUCUGAUUGGAUGUUGUGCUUUUAGGAACGCCAAAACUGAAGACCUCUUUCGCAAGUACAAGCAAGGCACUUACACGUAAUUGUUAGCUGCAUGUAAACUCUCUUUGAUAGUAAUAUUAUAAUGUGUAAUUAGGGAUUGGCUUGAAUUGUUAUUUUGAUAAUUUUAUGAAUUUUUUGUUUAAGAUCCGUCUUCUUGGUUACUUACAUUUGGUUAAAUUAUGUGUGGGGUUUGAUUUGAUGACGACAUAAUCUUGAGUUGUGCGUGCGUGAUUUGUGGAGGGCGCCGAAAGUAGGUGGCUUUUGAAUAUUUGCUUUUAAGGAGAAGGGAUUUCACACUUCCGCUCCCUGCUGGCUCCCAUAGGCCAUUAAUUGUAGCUUUGAAAAAAGCUCUGCUUCAGCAUGCGCAAAAGUCAAAGAAAUGGGACAUGUGCUCAUGCAUUAUGCAGCCAGCAUAUGGGUGAUAGCAGACGUAUUUAAUCUUUUAGUCUUUGUUGACAACUCAGCCUCUCUCUCUCUCUCUCUCUCUCUAUCUCUCUCUCUGCGUCAGGGAUCUGAUUUGUGGAAAGAUAGAUAUCGGUUUAAAAGGUUUUCAUAUGCAUCCUUGGAACUUUGUAAGGUUUACAUGGAAAUUUCUUCCCCUUCCGGUAGCCGUCGAGAACUCUUUGCUGCUGAGAUGCACCUGAAGAACGUACUUAAACAAGUAAAACACCUUAUAAUUCGAUAUUUAAGACACUUACAGUUGGUUUAAAGAUUGCAUUUUCCGUUUCUGUUUUUGACUGGUUCAGGGUAAAACUUUUUCUCACUGUGUUAGAGUGCAUUUCUGUUAUUAUAUAGUUUCUUAGAAGAAAAUGCACUUUUUGGAAUCUCAGGCUGAAGGAUUUUCGGUGCUGUAACUAAUCUCAUUUGACAAUGUAAAUAUAUGGCUUCAAUUUCUUUAAAUGUAA
rnacentral:lncRNA from 1 species